rnacentral:lncRNA from 1 species
UAUGGGAGUGGGAUGGAUAAAGGGCCGAUUAGUUAGAUAUAAUUAUAAAUAUUGUAUAAUUAGAUAUGCAUGGAGUUAAAAAUACAAUAGUUAUAACUAUAUGAAUCCUGUUUGACUGAAUAUAGUAGAAAGCGCUACAAAUAUAAAUAAUUUAUUUGGUUGCAUAUAGUUGAAAAUUAAUUUUUAAAAUUUUAUCAUUUUAUAUAUAUGACGGUGAGAAUACCUUCAAAGUAAAAAAAAAAAAAAAAAUUUAUUUAAAAAAUAUUGAGGGGGUAAGCAUUCUUUUUAUAUAAGGUUACUUUCUCCAACUGCUGCAGUUGGAACUGCGGUCAAUUUGAGCAUAGUUCGAACUGCUGCAUUUGGGCCUCCUCCUGCAUUCCUACUAUAGCAGUUGGAGUUAAAUACAUCAAACCAAAUACGAAAUUUAUAUUUACAUGUAGUUACAACUAUAGUGCAGUUACAACUACAUACAACCAAACAGUCCCUUAAUGAUGUUAUAGUCAUGUGCAUUCAUUUUACCAAUCAAUGUUGUUACUUGGAUGCCCCACAAAAGUUCUUUUCUAAAUUAUUUAUCUAACAAUAAUAUACAUUUAUUUAUCAUAUUAUAUGCAUUAAUAUAUUAGUAAUUUAUAAAAAAAAUGUUUUUACUAUUUACAGCAAUACUCGAAAAAAAAGAAAACUAAAAGAGUAGUAAUUAUAUACCUCCUAAAUAUAGCUCUUACAUAUUAUUAAAUAUGUAUAAUAAUAUUUGUAUACAAUUUAGGACACUAGAGUAUUAACGAUAUAUCAGUCGACUAAGAAUUUAAUGACUCAUAUCAAAAUUUUAAUUUGAAACAGAUAAAAUCUUAUCUUUUUUCAGCAAACUAAUAAGAUAUCUAAAAUAUUUUCGAUGGACGCAGCAUAUACACAUAGCCUAACAUGUGGGCGUUACCUAAACCCGACAAAAGUGGAUUGGUCGCGGCGGGAUCGUCACGUGGUUUCAUACCGUUGCUUUCGUUGCAUCUGAUAAUAAUUAAUAAUAAUAACCACGUUCCUGAUUCCUUAAUUUCUAGUCAAACUCCAUUUGAACACCUCGGAACACUUCUUGUUAGUCCAUACAAAAAUUAUCCUUAUAGUAUAGUUUUUGCUCCUAUUACACCCAACUUAACAAGGCAUGCAUGAAUCAGUAAUUAAUUAUAACCCUUAUAACUGUUGCUUUUUGAAAGAGCUUGUUAUCAGCGGGAACGGAUACGACGUCGAACACCAUCGAGUGGGCCAUGUCGCUCCUCCUCAACAAUCCUGAAGUCCUGAGAAAAGCGGCGACGGAGAUCGACGUUCGUGUGGGCACCGAUCGCUUAGUGGAGGAGUCGGACAUCGCGAACCUCCCCUAUCUCCGCUGCGUCUUCACCGAGACUCUCCGCCUCUACCCCGGAGGGCCCCUCCUCGUCCCCCACGAAUCUGCGACGGAGCUAACCAUCGCAAACUACACCGUGCCGCAAGGCACCAUGCUACUGGUCAAUGCCUACGCCAUCCACAGAGACCCCGCUGUAUGGCGCGAGCCUACGAAGUUUAAGCCGGAGAGGUUUGAAGCUGGGAGAGAAGAGAAGGGGUGGAUGAUUCCGUUCGGGAUGGGGCGGCGACGGUGCCCCGGGGAGGGCCUCGCCACGCGGGAGGCGUCGCUGUUGCUCGCGACGAUGAUACAGUGUUUCGAGUGGAAGAGAGUUGGGGAGGAGGAGGUGGACAUGACUGAAGGAAUGGGGCUGACUCUGCCCAAGGCAUUGCCUCUGGAAGCACUGGUUCGGCCGCGCCCGAACAUGAUCGAUUUACUUUCCAAGCUCUAAAUGCAUAUCAUGAGUUGCAUUUCACAAACGCAGGAAUAAAAGAAACUAUAUAUGAAAGCUAGUACAGCAGCACCAGACCACUGGCUUGUAUGCGUACGUUAAGGGGUGAUGAACUACUAUAGUACAUCUCUGGUAAUAGUAUGAUCGUUUAUGUAGUUUCCUAUGUAAACCUUUCAAAGUAUCUGCCUUUAUUCAAGUUCGUUUUUCCUUUGUUUGACGCCUCUUCGACUUUUUAUUUGCUUUGUCUUAAACAACUUCGUCACAACCUUGCUUCAAGAGGGAUUAGAUUAAUAUGACAAACAAAAAUCUUUUCAAACAUCAGUACCAUAUAAUCACAUUAAUUUGCCAGACGACAAUCUGCGGAGAAUCCGUUAAACAACAGCAUAACUUUUCAAUGAGAAAUGUAGGAAGCCUAUCAUUAAAUCUGAAAGCCUACAGCAUCAUAACAUCUCACUAUAUUUUGAAAUCCAUAACACAUACAGUGUUGUUAGAGAAACAUGCAGCAAUCUUAUCGCCUUCUUUGUUCCAGCACACUUCGAAGAUGCCGCCGCCGCCUCUGUAGGUCUUCAAUAUCCUCCCUUCUUUUACUGACCAUAUGUGCAGGCACUGAUCUAACGAUCCGCUUGCCAAGUACUCACCGUUGGGGCUAAACGCGACAGAAUAUACAGGUUGCCUGUAGUUGUAUUGUGCAACAGAGAAGUUACCGUAAGAAAUACAUGGGAGCACUACUAUGUACCUAUGCCUAGGGUCAAUUACAAAUUCAGCCACUGAUGUUUGAUCAUGACUCCAUGGUAGUUCCAUUUCUAACAAUUUGGUCCCUAAAGUUUAUCCCGUGCAAUGAUAAAGUUCUUUAAAUUAGUCUACCAUUGAGCAAACCGUAACUAUCGUGCUGGCAUGGCAUCUUUCUUCUGGCAGUAGAAUAAUAAAAGGACUAGAGUGUUUCACAGGACAAUUUGCAAUGACUAAAUCAUCAAAAUCGAUAUUCUAAGGACCGGAGUCACAAUUACCUGUGGCCGUUCAAGCUGUACAAAAGGCGCCCUUGAUCUACAUCCCAUAGCUUGAUAGUUGAGUCAAAGGAUGCACUAAACAUAAGUCAACAUCAUUAAUCAAUUAAAGCCGUGACAACAGAAUGCUCAGAAACUACUAACAUGAGAAAUACAUGUGUACAGAAAGUAGGAAAAUUCUUGCCUUGCCAACACUAGUUGGUGAUUAGGGUUGUUUGUUCCCUGGCCUGUGGGGCUCCAUUUGAUUGUAUAUAUUUCCUGGAAAAGAAAGUUGUUGAUCUAUUAGCAAGAUGGAUGCCUAUAAAGAGUAGGUGCUACUCAGAAAAGGAUUAGAACCUUGCUGUGAUCCUUGAAAUCAUACAAAAACUUGUCCUGCUUCGGACUCCAUAUCUGCCAAAAUUUAAUUAAGUUAUCAGAUCUGAUAUUGAAGUACAUAAUUAUACGAAAGAAAGUCAAGCCUAGAAUGAAAAGAGCCAGCUAUUAAGCAAUCUAAGGUGUACACUUCAUAUUACUAGCAACAAAGAAACAAUUAUCCCACAGACUGCUAUAAUGGGGUCAAUUUUUUAGAAGAUAUCUCAAAACCAGGAUCGAAUAAGCUAAAUAGGUCACACUAUAGUUAAUAGAUAGGUGCACUAACCCACCGAACAAACGAAGGGAUUUAUCAAACAAUCUCAAGAUGUAUGCUUACAAGCAAUAAAUGAUGAAAAGAAUCCAACAGAUUGCUAACAAUUUUUAGAAGAUAUCCCACAGCCGGGGUUCGAAAGGUCAAUAAGUUGACCUAAACUCCACUGCAUGCACCAAUCCGGAAAAAGUUCAGCUCAAUUAUUAAGGUGAAAAAAAAUAGUAAUGAAAAUUGCUAAUGCCAAUUAAGUAGAACUAUUUCUCAUAAACUUCUCCGUGCAGACAUGAUUAUGUACCUUUGCAGUCCCAUCAUCAGCGCAUGAAGCCAGCAAAGAACCAGUUGGAUCCCAUUUGAUAGCAUUAACUUCACCCUGAAAAAAAAUAUGAUGUGGAAAAAAGUUAACCUCAUAUGCAUAUUCGAUGAUGCUACACCAGUAAUUAACCAGCAGCUAUUUUUCAUCCUUCAUCUAUCAUGCACUAACACGCCAUGCUUUUUUAUAUCAUUUUAACUUGGAAUGACAUCAUAUCUAUUUGGUUCUCAGUGUGUGUAUGUAUGAGAGAGAGAGGGGUAGGAAUUUCAUCUUGUAAAAAAAAAGAAAAAGAAAAAAGAAAUCUAAUGACCAACCUAUUAACUACAGAUUGUGGAACUUCAUCCACAAGUAUACGAAGAAUCAUGUGUGGAAGUUUCAAUAAAUGCUUUGCAUGUCUUACUUCCAACAUGCGCUUCAACAUGAAAAGGAAAAAAUAGAGCAUCCCUUAGUUCAUUACAAAAUUUAUAUAGGUAAGACUACAAGGUUUGGUUCUUGUGUUGUAGAUUGAAAUGUAUUAAUGCGAGUGUCACAUUGAGACUAAACUUUUAAGGGAGCAACAUAGUUAUAGAGAUUCGUACAUCGUUUACCCAUUAGGCGGAGCAAUUCGAGACCAUUGGACGCCAAUAAUUGUUCAAAGAAUCAAAAUAUGACUAUCUCAGUUAAAUAGGAAAAGAAAACCUGAUGCCCAGAGAAUGCCUUGACUGGGCGAGACUCUCCAAUCUUGCAAACAUAGAUCAUGUUAUCAGUUGAGCAUGUUGCAAAAGAAUUAUUGUUUCUCCAAUCAACGUCAAGUGUUGGAGCUGGAAAAGUAAAAGGAUAAACGAAAUACUAGGUAAGACUUUGAAGCCUACAAGCAUAGUUAAGUAUAAUCUUAAUUUAUAGGUAAACGUAAUUCUAAGUAAAUCAACAAUAUCAGCACCUGAAUGAAACUCAAAUUGUUGUUUACACUCCCAUGUCUUCGUGUCCCACACAAUAGCAGUUUUGUCAACACUUCCACUAAGGAGGAAAUCACCCUUUUUGUUCCAUUUCAAAGAAAAUAUUGGUCCCUUAUGCUUGAUCAAAGUAUUCUUCAACUCCCCUGCUCAUGUUAUUGAACCAACACAAAGGAAAUACCAGUAGUAAUUACAAUGAAAGAUAUGCAAAAACCCAAAAUGAAAAUAAGUUACAUAAGUUAAUUGUGAAUUGAAAAAUAAUAGGCUGCAAGGAUUGGAGACAGAGUGAAUGGGGGAAAGUACAAAUCGUUGGAGCUAAAGAAGCUUUUCUGUCCAUUAGGCUAUUAUUGUCUCUUUAUCACUAAGUAACUGAGCGAUUGUCCUCCAGCUCCUGCUGAGUAUAGGGCUUCGGCUCUAUUAAUAACUCAUUAAUGUCAUAGAAUAUAUGCUUAUAAUCUCGUUCACAUUCAUUAAAACAGCUCAGAACCAUAAAAUAAGGACUAACCUAUUUUGUUUAGAAGAGAUGUUCGGGUCAUAUGACAAUAUAAAGUGACGAACCAUAAAGCAAUUUCUUCAACGGAAAAAUCAAAGCCUUACCAUCCUUACUCCAUAUUCUUGCAUGUCCAUCAUAUGAACCUGUAGCUAGUAAAGUACCUUCUCCCUGUAAUAGUUCCACAUAGGAAAAGAAUAUGAGAAAAAGGUUCCAAAUAGUACAAUGAGAGGAGAAAGAGAAACCAAUUGCAGAAUACAAAUUUGUGAAUAAGAAAGAUAAUAUAGAAGCAGAUUUGUUAUUUCAAGAGAAAAGGAAAUCACUGAGAGAGAGAGAGAGAGAGAGAGAGAGAGAGAGAGAGAGAGAGAGACUACAUUCCAAUCAAGUGUGGUGACAUCCUUGCUCUUCUCAUUAGUUCGCCCUUUAAAAUGUUUCAGAACAUGAGCAGUUGGGGGAAAUGCUUGCACACUAGAACCACAAGGACCAUCUGGAAUCGUCCAAAUUCUUGCCGUUGAAUCCCCAGACCUGCCCAAUCACAAAAUGACUCAAAUUGUUUCUUGUAACUGGAGCGAAUAUCUAAAACAUAUGCACAUGGAAGCAAAUUAGCAUUUCAAGUUGCAAAAUUUGUGCUUGAAGAUUCUGAGAGGACAGCUACAACAAGCUUAAUUGAAGCUCUUGGAGCUUGAUGUCUGAACUUGAAUAUGUCAACCAGUGGGGACAUUACUCUAUGUUCAUAAUAGUUUGCAAAUUAGAAUGAAAAGAGUAGGUAAAAAGAGGUCUAUUAGUGGAGCUUGCAAUAGAAGAAACUAAGUGCAACAUAUGAAACUUAGCAUGCGAUGCAAAAUGAACAAAGUAAAAAUGGAUAACAAGUUAACAACAUAAAUGACAAACCUAGUAUUAUAAGUAUGCUUUAGUCUAAUACCCACCCAGAUGCUAGAAGAGAACCUGCUGGGCUCCAAGCACACGCAAAUACCUAAAUGCAUAAAAAAUGGAAAUAUAUGAAAGCAGGAACAGUUAGAAUCUCAUAAUCAACAGGCAGUAUAUGACAUAAAGAAAUGUAAAAAAGUAUCAGACCUCAGAACAGUGGCCUUCCAAUAUAGUUACGUCAGAACUAGAUAUCUCACUAGUGACUGGGUGAGAGCUUGGGGCGGCAUCAGUUGGUUCAGGCCCUAUUAGACAAUCAAGGUGAAUGAGUGAAAUAUGUCCACCAGAUGACAGCGAUGAAACUAAAGAAAUUAGUACAUAACUAAUUAGCAAAGGUGAGACCGGGGCUAUGUGGCGAGGAUGUGCGCUUAGUUAGGUAAAGAUCACCUGGAGUAAGUCGAUUAGACUACAUCCAAGAAAACAGUAUAAAUUCAUUUACAUGCAACAUGUUGCACCACAUGCUUAGACAGUUAGAUGUUAACCCCUCUAGGUGUGCAGCAUGUGUUAACACAUGACCCUGGCUUAGCUUUCAGACCGAGGGCAUGACAAAGGAGCAUUUCGAGAUAUCGAACUAACGAGAUAUCACUCUCAACAAGGUCCAAUAUACGGAGAGCCUAACCAACAGAACUUCUCAAAUUAGCAUAUAACAUGGUACUUUAAUGACGUCAUCCAUAUGAAGGGAACUAAUUAACUACAUGUAAGUCCAACAAAAUAGAAAAACACAAUCUAUCAGGUAUAAUGAAAGCAUUGCAAAUAGUACAGGUACAGCAGCAGUAUACAGCAUGCGUAACAUUCACGCAUGUUCGACAUGUUUGAUCUCUAGAGAUUCAGCAAAAUAUACUGGAUCUUCCUUAAUGCUCCAAUGUCUGAAGGAAUUAAACAAUUAUAAAUCAACUAAAUAUAAUGAGUAUUCAGUACAUCACAAACUUUGAUCAAUUUGAAAGAAAAUGCAGAUAUAAAUAUGAGUAUAUUACAUAAAUGCUAUUAGAGGAUGGAACAGUAACGAGUAACAUUGUAAAAGAUUUGCUUGUGUUUUGAACUUUGACGAUUCCAGGCUUCCAUCAUAAGAAUGCUUGUAUUCUUACAGAAAAACAGAAAAAGGAAUAUGUUGUUUAUCUAAUAUAGGUAGCCUACAGGCAACAAAAAAGAGGAAAUAAGUUUUAAGUUUCUUGCAGGUCUCUUUACCUCCAGCUCCAUUUUCAUCAAGUCUGGCCUUAUCUUUGCGCUCACCAUGCUGCUUAUCCUUUUCUCUGUCCUUUUCUUGCUCUUUAUCCUUUUCCAUCUUUUCUUUAUCCCUCUCUUGAUCUCUAUCAUGUCUUUCCUUCUCCUUUUCACCUCCAAGAGUCCGUUCUCUAUCUUUUUCCUUGUCCUUAUCUUGCUCAUGCUGAUAUUUCUUCCUUUUCCUCUCCCUUAUAAUUUCUUGUAGCUCGUUCACAUCUUUUGUAAUAAGAUCCAGAGGUUGUAAGAGAGAAAAUUCCUCAUCGACAUCUAUAUCGCUCUGCCAAAACAAGAAGCAUAACGAAGGGGGAAAAAUGUUAUCUAACAAUAGACCAAGAAAACGAAUAAAUUAGAUGACAAGACUAUGACACAAAAAACUUACAUUGCUAACGUUAGCCUCUAACUCUAUAUAUUGAAGACCUUUUUGUACAAUGGUAAUAAGAGCACCAGGUGGAAUUAUAUUUCCAUCAAUAUUAGAUCUGUGAAUCCCUGCUUCAUAUCCUAAACAAAAUGCUGAGUGAGCAAAUCCUGCAAAUUUCACAUAACAAGCGUUAGCAUCACAGAUCCAACUAACUUUUCACUGUAUAAUUUGCUCUCAUUUUUUCUUGCUAACAAGACGAAAGGCCAAAGUAAAAGUAAUAGAACUACGUCGAGCAUUAAAUAGUUUAAAACAAGAGAGAACCAUCUGGGAAACUAAUUGAAAACAAUGACUAUUGACUAGCAACUUUAUGUUAUAGAAAGAGAGAAAAAAAAAAAGGUAUAAGGACCCCCUCAACUAUAGCUUAUUUUUAGAUAGACCCCUCACCUCUUUCUCUUAUGAUGCCUCCUAUGGCGUUUCUCUUAUGUUUGGCCAGUGCAAACAAAUUUUUCAGUUGCUGGAAUGGAACUAACAUUAUGGCAUUUUUGUUAUCUACUAAUAGUUGAUAGCUAAUGGAGCUAAUUGAAUUUGUAAAAGUAACUCAAAUCAAAGCAAGUCAAAGUUGAGAAGUCUCCAAGUUGCCCCAAAAAAUUCAAAUUUUCAAGCAAAGCAUCAAAUCUUGUUAUUUCAAAUAAAAAUACUCGAGCUACAGUGAUCAGAAACAUAAAAAACAACACAACAAACUCUUCUAAGCACAGUAAACAAAGGUUAAGAGCAGCUACAAAAGCAGUUCACUAACAAUCGAUCCAACUUCAAAAGUCGCUCUACAGCGUUAAACGAUCUAAAAUGUUUGCAGCUACCACGAAUUCAUGUGCCUAAAUUACAAAAAAUUAGGUCAAAAAAACCCUGGCAGAACCCAACGCGACGGAACAAAAAAUUAUACAGGUAACAAUUCUGAAGAACAACGCGAAUAAUCAGAAAAAAAAAAUCAAAUUUAACGACGGAACUUGGAGAUCGAGAUCGAGAUCGAGAGAGAGAGAGAAGAACCUGAUUCGUGGAGGUAUCGAAAGACGAGGUAAUUGAGCUCUACAGAGGUGAUUGUGGACUUCGACAUCGAAACCCUAGUGAUAGCACGAACAUAUAGAGAGAGAGAGAGAGAGAGAGAGAGAGAGAGAGGUUCCUCCCGGGGAAGAGGAUGAGAGAGAGAGGAGGCGCUUCUCUCUCUCCGGGAAUUGCUUCUUCGGGAGCAAACGGUUUGGGAGAACGAAGAGGAAAGCCCAGAAAAAUAAUAAAAUUAAAAACCUAUUACUUAUGAAAUGUAAAAUGGGCCGGGUCGAACCAUUAAUGGCCAUAUAAUUUUGAACCUAAAUGGGCCAAAGAGGCUCGGCCUAGUACCAAAUACAAAACGGCCUACUUUUUUUAAAAAUAUAUAUAUAUAUAUAUAUAUAUAUUGUUAUUACUUCUGUAUAAUGUUUAUUUAUUAAUGAAAAAAUAAAUUCUAGUUAAUGCUUCGAAACGUGUCAAACAUUUUUAAAAAAUUGAUUAUAUCUGAGAGAAAAAAAAUUAAAAUAUUUGUACCGCGUGGUUAGAUGCCGCUCAUUUUAUCAGAUGCUUUUAAUCUUUUUGUUAAAAUCAUAAAAUAUUUGUUAUAUAAAAACAAAUAAUUUAAAACUAUGGGUUUACUUUCUUAAUAGCCUAUAGAUGAGGAGCCUGUGUGCAUUUUCUCCUUCCUAUUAAAAAUAAUAAUAAUAAUAAAUAAUAAAUAAAAAAGAAAAAGUUCGAUCUCGUGCAACGUGUUCUGAGCAACAACAGCGUCGCCCUCUUCGCUCUUCGCGAAAUUUAUGAUUAAGCGCCAUAGGCGACCUCUCUCUCCGGGACCCUCUCUCUCUCUCUCUCUCUUUCUCUCUCUCUUCUCACUCUACAAUGAAGAGAGGUUCUCGAACGAUCCAAUAGAGAAAGGUAUAUACGUUUCCCCAAUUUUUUUAUUAGUUGUUCUCUCUCUCCAAUGCUCAAAUUCAUAGAUUUUGAUUAGGGUUUGCAUUGAAUCGAAGCAUUCGAAGCCUCCUUGUUGCGAUUUCGUUUCUUAGGUUAAAAGUAUUUUGAAUUGGGUGUAUAAUUGCGGAAUUAUUCUUUAUUUUAGUGCUUCUCGUGUACCUUUGCCUUUUCAUGAUCACAAUCUUUACAAUUGAUUUAUGAAGUACAGUGUUGUUGUGAUAGGGAGAUAGGGUUUUUUGCUUUUUUUCACGAUUUUCUCUGUAAAUUCAUCUUUAGAGUUAUUUGUUUUGUUUAUUGAACUUAGUAGUGGUUUUGCAUCAAGUACAUCGUCGUAGAUUCCGCCGAAGUACCUUCUCAUCAUAGAAAGUUUUUAUUUCGGAAUUGCUCUUUCCAAUUUUCCUGUAAUAUUGGGCAAAUUUUAGUAUUUUAAGAUAUUGAGGAAUCGAUUUGUUGUACAUAUAUGCACUCAAAAUGCACUUUCUGAUUCUAUUCUCGCUGUUGAGUAUUUAUUAGAUUUAAGGCAAAAGUUUUACUUUGUACGCGAGCUUGGCGAACGCGGUAAUCUAUGCUCGUGAAUUAGUUGUGUCUUACUGGAAAAGGCUGACUUACCAUAACCAAGGAUGCUGGCAUUAUAGGCAUAAGAUAUCUUUAUUGAAAUUAUUUUAAAUUUGUGUUCAUUAAUAGUUUUGUCAAACACAAUUCCUUGCUAUGUCGCGAGGAAACUAAAUGUUUAAGUUUUUGGUCUACUUGAAGUGAUAGCUUGGAACACUACACUUGAGUAUUGGUUGGUGCUAGUAAGAGUUUUCGGUAUAAAAGGCCGUAUACUUUUGCUUUCAGUUGAUUUUAGUUACUUAUUUAAGCUGCUACUGAGCUGGUUUAGGAAUGUAUUGGCGGUCCACUUUUGGUCUCUGACAUGGCGCGAUCGGGUCGAUAUAUGUUUAAACCUUUUUUUGGCAUUUUCUACAGGGUUUUUUCUUUUGCUUACAUAAACUUAUAAUUUUUCCUUUCUUCUUUCCAGGAUGUCGGAGCUUUCCGCAGCAGUGAAAGGAGAAUCCUGGCAUUCCGACCAUCAAAGAAUUGCAUUAUCUCCAUCCAACUUAUCUUCUGGCAAUCCUGUAAAUAUGGAAGUUGGAGAUGACGAUGAAGAGGAGGAUUUGGAUUUCAAUCCUUUUUUGAGGGAAGAAACUCCUUCAGAUGCCUCAUCAAGUCUGACUUCAGAAAAUGAAGGUGCAUCUGCUAGUGUUGAUAAAAUUAUGAGCUCUUCAGAUCAACAAGAUGUUAAUACAGCGUCUAGGCCAAUUGAUGAGACUCAACAUUGUAGUUUAAUUAUUGGAAAAGAGGAUGAGAAUACCCUGAUGCAUAAUAGGCUUGCAACAGACGAUGACUGUGGGAAAGAACCUGUUCAAGAAAACCAAGGGACAAAUUGUACACAGCAGGAGGAAAACUUAACUGUUUGUGGGAAAUCCCAGAAUCCAACGAUCAGCAUAGAUGAUGAGGAUGCCAUCUUUAAGCGCACACGGGCUCGCGUUUCUCUGGCAAAUUAUACACUCGAAGAAUUAGAGACCUUUCUCCAGGAAUCUGAUGAUGAUGGGGACCUACAAAAUAUUGAUGAAGAAGAGGAAUAUCGUAAGUUUCUUGCAGCUGUUCUACUGGAUGGAGGAGAUGACAAACACAAUGGACAGGGGGAUGAUAAUCUGGAUGAAGAUGAGAAUGAUGCUGACUUUGAAAUUGAAAUUGAGGAGGCAUUAGAAAGCGAUGCUGAUGAAAAUAUCGAAAAUGAGAAAUUAUUAGAUGACAAGCAAGAGGAAGAUUCCCGUAGGCCCGUGACUCGGCAGAAGAAACGGCUUAAGGAGUCAGCUGAAAGUAAGAAAUGCUUUCUGGGGCAACCAAAAUUGCCCUUGCGUCCUAUUCUGCCGUAUGUUGCUCAUGCCCAAGUAUCCCCUCUCCCUGCCUAUGGAUGGCAGUUUCCUUCUAAAAAUGGAGCUGAUUUGGCGAAUGGAUUCACAGCUCAGCAAAUAGGCCAGCUCUAUUGCUUAAUACAUGAGCAUGUUCAACUUUUAGUUCAAGUCUUCUCUGUUUGUGUUCUUGAUCCAUCACGACAGCCGGUUGCUGUUGAAGUUCAAAAGAUGAUCACAGAGAUGGUUUGUAGGCGCGAGGAAGCCUUGGUUUCGAACAAAGUUCCUUAUCCGAGGACUUGCUUUGAGACUCCAUAUCUUCGUUCAUCACUUGAUAAUGCUUCUAAUCAGAGUUCAGAAUUCUCCCACUGGAUGCCAUUAAUUGAUUGCCCUUUAUUUUCCAUUCUUGAUGUGGCACCACUAAGGCUGGCAAAUAGUUACACAACUGAUGUUACAGCUAGUAGGUGACUAUAUAUACGUUUAUAUUAAUUGCUUGCCAAUUUUGUGCAGGCUUCCAAAUUCUGAAGAAACAGACUUUACUUGAACUAUAGCGCAUUUUGAAAUGGGUACCUGCGGUUUUCAUUUUAGAAUGUUUCAUCGAAAUAUUUUAGAACUGAAUGGUUUUUGUUAGAAAUAUACACUCUUUUUCACUUCAGAAAUGCUGUUAAUUGCUGAUGGGAGGUUUAAAUCAAAAACAUUCUACAGCUUGGUAGUGAAUCACAAUUUUAAAGUUUAGAUACUCAUUUUAAAAUGUGCAAUAGUUCAUGUAAGUUUGUACACUUCUCCAAUUUUUUAUGACCGUAUUCCUUUUACCAAAUGAUUUUACAGCUGUUGUAAGGUAUAGGCAGAGUCAUUUGGACAAUGCAGCUGACAAAAGCCACUUGAAAAGAGAACCUCUUUUUCCUUUGCCUAUGAUCGACACCGGCAGGGAGAGUAAUAAUAAGCUUCUUGGAGGAUUUAAUACAAUGUCUACAGUUUCAUCACUUUCACCUGGUCAGCUGCAACCUAAAAAGUCAUUAGCUGCUACCCUUGUAGAAAGUACCAAGAAGCAAUCAGUUGCUAUCGUCCCUGUGGAUAUAGCCAGAUUAGCACAGAGGUUUUUUCCUCUGUUUAAUAUUGCGCUGUUUCCUCACAAACCUCCGUUGCCAGCAGUUGCAAACCGUGUGCUUUUCACUGAUGCGGAGGAUGGGUGCGUUCUUUCUCCUUUUCUACCGUUGACGUUCCAUGUUUAAUAAUUCGGUUACUUUUUUUUUUCCCCCUUUUUCUAUUCUUUGCAUUGUUUAUCUUACUUAUCUGUCUGUCUACUAUGUUUUGAGUUCUACUCAUUUGUCCAUGUUUCUUCCUGUUUAGAGCUCUUCUUUGGUUUGCUAAUUAAUCCUUGAACAUUGUAUGGAACUUAAUUAUAGCUGUUUUAGUUGAAGCUGUUGGAAUCCUCACUUAUUUUAAGAGUCUCAACCAAGUCCUUGCCAUCAACUGGAUUUUUUUAACUGAUGUGAUCAAUUUGUCUGACAUGUAAGAUACACGUGCAUCCGCUCAAGCACCUACAUACCUAAUGCAAAAUUCCUCAGGCUAGUAAAAAUUGGAUCUAGAAUUAUUAGCACUUUGUUGAUACAUAAUAAUCUUCUUUAGAUCUAGAAUUGUUAGCUCUUUGAUUUCUUUCUGAUUCCUCUUUCAUGGAUUACACCGCCUUAUGAUUCACGAUUUGAUGUUAUCACUCUUACUUAGCCAGGAUUCGGUUACUGUUUUAUUUUCUUAAUUUUUGAGAUUCUUGCAGAUUACUAGCAAUGGGACUGAUGGAGUAUAAUAAUGAUUGGGGUGCGAUACAGAAGCACUUUCUUCCUUGUAAGUCGAAACAUCAGGUAAUAUCUGUAAUUAUUUUGAUACUUUUGUGAAUGUCUACAUGACAUGAACUUGCCUGCUUUCUGACCAAAAUGUGUCGUUGUGUUUAUAAAUUCCAAAUACAUAGUUUUUAUUUGCUAAUUUUGAUAUGGAAACUUUUUAAUAAGGCAUUUUAACCUUUCUUUAUGAUGAUUUGACAACAUGGUCUUUCUUUGAUGCAGAUUUUCGUCAGACAGAAAAACCGCAGCUCUUCUAAAGCUCCUGAGAAUCCAAUUAAGGUAAGCAUUCGAGUGAAUGACUAAAAUAUGUAUUUCCGUGUGCUCUUUCCAUCACAUGCUUAUAUAUGAUAAAAUUUGGUGGAAGUAUGCAUAUGAAAACAAAAGUUUGACUUCAGUGCUCAAUUGUGCAUUGAGAAUUUUUUGAAAUCCAUCAAGUUUUAAAUUCUGCUUCUCAUUUUAAGUUUUCAAUUGUUGGCUUGUUUUAAAGGCUUAUUUAUUUGUCAACUCAUCCAGGCUGUGCGACGUAUGAAGACCUCUCCGUUGACAAUAGAUGAAAAGGCACGGAUCUACGAGGUGAGUUGAUUGAAAAUCAUUAAUAGAACUGAUAUGGGCUAUAACUUAUUUAAGUCAUAAUCCCAUCAUACUCGUGUUUGAAGCCAGGGACUUAAAUUAUUCAAACAUGAUUGGAUAUCUGUUUGGAAAUUUUUUGUCCCACAUCGAGAUCCGUCACUAUUGCCACGCCAGUGGAGAAUUGCUACUGGAACCCAGAAGUCCUACUGUAAAAGUGAAGCUGUUAAAGAAAAGAGGCGAUUAUAUGAAGCAAAAAGAAGAAAAAUGAAAGCUUUAACGGCUGAUACAGAAACAAUACCUGGAAACGAGGUUAGUUAACAUAAUCAACUUUAAACAUUAUAUUUGCAUUAAAAUCCCUGGAAAAUUAUUUUUAUAUAUAUAUAUGUAUGUAUACCCCUGCAAAGUCUAAAUUAUUAUGUAUACCCAUUAAAAACUUAAUUUCUUUUGCAUAUGCCUUUGUAUUACAAAAGUACCCCUCUUUAGGCAAACUUACUCUGAUACAAAACCAAUUUACCAACAUAAAUUGUACACCUAAGCGUCCUAUUAAUUUGGUGGAUGAAUGACUACCAGGUUGACAAUGGAGGACCUAACAGUUCGGAUGAAAUGGAUAAUGAAAACGAAGCUUAUGUUCAUGAAGCAUUUUUAGCAGACUCGAGCAUUGGUAGGAAUGACACACAGUCUGUUCAGUUGAUACAGCAUGAGGGGGCUUACAUUGGUCAAAAAUCCUCCACUAAUACAGAUGAAUCUGAUGAUCUACAUCAAGUAGGUGGAACAAAGCUUGAUCUUCCAACAUCCUCAAAGACUUUUGAAAACACGAAUGAUUUUUCCAAGCAGACUGGUGUAUACUCUGUUUCACCUAUGAACUUAUUUUCUGGGUCAAAGUCAAAGUCCAUAGGGAAAAAUAUGUUGGUCUCAGUGCCUCAAGCACGCAAAAAUAAAGGGGCCCGGGUAGUGAAGUUGGCUCCCGACUUGCCACCUGUAAACCUCCCCCCCUCUGUUCGUGUGAUAUCCCGCUCAGCUUUUCAUGGCUUUCGUGGUGGAUCAUUAUUUUCUAACAUCAGUUCUAAUGCAACGAAAGAUGUUGUUUCUACGAGCUCUCAGGCCAUUACAAAAUAUAUUAAUACAGAAAAUCCAGGAAAACAGUUGAAUCUAUGCUCUGAUGGGGGUCCCCAUACAAAUAUGGCUGAAGAAAAUCCUGUUGAGUCUGAUUUCCAGAUGCAUCCUCUACUAUUCCAGUGUCCUGAAGAUCAAUCAUCAUAUUACCAUCAAGUGAGCAGAUACAGUUUUCUCUCUCAGAAUAGCGGUCAGGUUGAUCCCGUAGUGGGAGUAAAAGAUAACAUCAACAUUAUUUCGUACUCGAGAGAAGCUCCUGCAGAGGUGCAUACUAUCGACUUCCACCCUCUACUGCAAAGAAGUACUGGUGCAACUUUGUCGACCAGAAUUAGAGGUUCUGAGAACAUAGUAUCAGAUGUAGAGUGCCAUCAAUUCCUCGACCAAUCUGACUGUAACUUGAGAGAAUCUGUAAGCCACAGUGAGAAGGAAAACAAUCUUGACUUGGAUUUCCGCUUAUAUUCUGCAACAGAUAAUGAAAACUUAAAAUUUGCUAGCAGAGAUUCACUUGAGCAUGUCGAGUCAAGGACUUCUUAUUUGAAGCAUAGUGGUCUUUCAAAUUCGAGCAGAGUUUUUGCCCAGUCACAAGAGUGCGAGGUGGAAAAUGUUCAUCUUAUUGGACCUGAACCUACUAGAAUGAAUAAUUAUGCUCGCCAAUCCUUGGAAGAGCGUAAUGAGGAGUCUUUGCCAGGUAUUGUAAUGGAACAGGAGGAAUUGAGUGAUUCGGAUGAAGCGAGUGAACAUGUGGAGUUUGAACGUGAGGAAAUGGACGAUUCAGAGGAAGAUGCACAACCUUCUCAAACCCACAAUUUUGUCACCACUUUACUGAAAAGAAUGCUGCCUCUAUGAAUUUAUAUUGGCUUCUUUUUACCCAGCAAUUCUAUCUUCUCAAGAUACUGCUCACACUUCUGUAUUCUUCUGCAUAAUUUAAGUUACCAGGAUUCCGACUAACUUAAAAUGUUUCUUGUUCCAUUAUUUUUUUCCCCUACAUAAUGCAUCAGAAUUCGAAAGUUAGACGGCUCGCAAGGUUUAGAAAUAUCAAAAUUUUAGAAACUUGGAUUUUGGUAGUUCUAUUUGUUACCUUAAAUCCUUUUUUUUGGUCAGGAUAUUCAAACCUUUGUUUCUCUGGGGGAACACCAAGCCAUUGAUGAACAUAGUCAAGUGCAUCGGCCAAGAUCAAUCAUCCAACAAGGACCAGCCCAAGAGAGCAAACUCUGUUCAAGCUCAUCACAGGCGCGACAAGAUCCAUGUCAUGCUAAUGUUCCCCAAUUAAAGCCAAAGAAAGACUCUGGCAAAAAGGACACGUUGCGCAAAACUCAUCUUGGUGCAGCUCAUGCACGUCCUCAUCAAUCGAGCAAGGCGCGACCAAAAAGCUCGAGAGCCUGCCCAAUUGAACCGCGGCGGCUGCAUUUGCAAACGGAUACCGAAUGCAUGAAUGCUAAUCCCAGAAAACCGAGAAAACGGUCAGCUCCAAAUUAAUUCAGUGCUAACCUUUUUUUUCUUUUUCUCUUUCUCUCUUGCUCUGUAUAUCUUUGAGACUAAAAGAUCCAGUGGUGCUUUUUAGCCGGUUUAGUUAUUCGGGAACAACCAUCAAAAAAUAAUAAUAAUAACAAGUUAACAACGGAAAAAAGAAAAGGCACUGAUAACCAAAUUAGCAUUUGACACCCUAGGCUUAGCUACUAACUGUAACUUCUUAGACAACUUCCUCGUAGGAAUAUAUUUAGAUUAGAACCUGUGAGGAAAGCGAGUGAGGCGGUUCUCUGCUUCAGAUAUUGGUGGAUGUACCUUGUAAUUUGUUAAUGAUGUAUUGUAUACACCACACUUGUAAAUGUUUGAGGUCUUUCUCCAUGUGCAGAAAUGAUACUAAGGAGCUUUUAGAUUCGUUGCAAGUGAUUUAUUAUCAUCAAAUUGAAAAGUAAAAACUUCCGUAAUCGAAUUCUAUGAGCCUAGGUGGUAAAUUUGGUAGAAAGAUGAAUAUGCCCUUCAUUUGUUCUUAAGGAAAAAAAGAAAAAAGAAAAAAAAACCACCAGCACCAAAGGAACAAAAUUGAACGAACUGACAAUUCUCCAAAUCGAUUAAACUAAUAAAUAACCACGUAUAGCACAAUAGUCACACAUACGAGGCAGAUUCAAUGCAAACAUACAUAUUGACCAAAUUAUAAACACAUCGCUCAUCAAACAGCCAUUAGUUUCCACUUAACAAAUGGGUAGGGAUACUCUAAACACCCUGUGCACUCGGUAUCCUGAAGAGAGGUGCAACCCUUCACACGAUGAGCCCCCAUAACUAUGGCUAGCUCCAUCUACUUCCUUCUUUGAUAUAUCUGUAUUUUAAACUGAAUAAGUAUAUGAGACGAUUCAAAAUAAUUGAUAUCCCUCUAUUUAAAGGAAAAUAAUAUAUGCAAACAAAUGCAAGCAUAAAAAAUAAAAAUAAAGGAAGCACAUUUAGUAUGCGAAUGUAAAUAAGAAUUAUCACCCAAUGUAAACUAGUCAAAUAAUUGAUGAGUAUAAAAGUCCUGUUCAUGUGUUUUUAUCAGCUAGAUAUUUACCUUCCUCGGCCUUCGGACGAGGAACUGAAGAUGAACUGUAACUAAGCUCGUGAUGAAGUUCAGGAGAUAAGAUAGAAACCUUUGGAAUGGAUUAGCGUGAGAUCUCCAGCCUUUGGUUCUUUUGCAUGAUAAUAGGGAGCUUAUGAACAAUGAGGUUGGGAUCUCCAUAGGCUGCAGAAUCAGAAGGAAUGCCUUGCUGCACGACGCAGCAAGAUUUGAAAAAAGCAAUUCAACUUACAUUUUCUUAGUUGCAAGAAGAACAGAAAAUUCUAAAUCAAAGCAUAACUUUUUUUUGAGAGAGAAAGAAAGGUAGCAUGCUAACUGCUUCGUUUAUUUCAUUUUUAGAAAUAAAUUUAGCUAGAAAUGUGAAGCAACUAGGCUUCGAACCUGAGACCUCAAGUACCAACCAUCACUCUCAUUACCAUUUGCGCUAGGGACAGUCGGUAAUCAAAGCAUAACAUUAUCGUAGAACAAGGUCAGGUAGGAUUUCUAGCACACUAACUGUAGUAUGAAAGAGCAAAUAGACUUACAGCAGACAAACUUUGGAUAGUUGCUUCUCUCCAGCAGCUUUCCCGCAGAACUACAGGUUCAGCAUUGCCAUUACUACCAAAAGCACAAUAAACUCGAGUAUCCCUCAACCUCAUUAGCACUCCAUCAACUCUAAGCUGUUAAAAUAACACAUUCAGUAGCUAAAAAAUAAUACUAUGAACAGCAUAACUAUUCCAAUAAGUACAACUAACAUUAUAGAAAAUUAACAUGAUAAUUAAUCAUGAUAAUCCAAGUCUUUUUCCAUCAAAACUCACUCAGAAUCUAGGCAUUCCGUUAUCGAAUGCAUACUUCAUAUAUUCAAUAACGGAAUCUAAAUAAAAAUGUAAGGGACACUUUUGAGCCAAGGUAUUUAAACAUUACCCAGUAACGUAAUAGAAGAAACCAACAGCUUGGCAUCACUCUCUGCAGACAUACAAUAAAAGACUCUGUAAAACUUCAAAAGUCUAAAUACUCUUGCCUAUUCAAGGCCAACUUUGUUAACUAGACAAGCAAAAAGUACUUACCACUUUCACCGUUAGUAACGAUACCCCAUUGUCAGCCAACUCAUCUUCGUACAAAACAACCUAGAUAAUUAGGUUAAACUCUAAUUAGACGUGGCAACUACAUCUAUCACCCUAUUAGCUAUUAUAUCAAACUAAUCAACCUCAUCAUAAAAAAGAAUUGGUUCUCUUGACGACAGUGCAGCCAGAUCAAUUCGCUCAUCCGUGUCCUGCCAAUGCAAACCCUUCUGCAUUGCAAUGGUAUUCAGAAGUUAGUGUGGUUAUCUCGUAAUAGAUAUAUACCAAGCUAGAUGAACCUAAACAAAUAUAAGCAUGUAAAAAGUAAAACCAAUGUUACAAUAACAAGUCAGCUGAAUGUUGUGCAUAACUAUUUAUCUUUGCUUAAUAUUUGUGUGCUUGUGGUGAGCAAACUAGAAAUGUUUCAGGUUGAGGUGUUCUAGAAAAAUUGGAACGUUGGGAAGUAAAUACGAAGUGUCUGAAGAGGGUGCCAAUGGGAAAUGUAACGACUUUUCUUCAUUUCAUCAGAGCAAGUCACACUAGGAAAGAUAAAGUCCCACAAAAAAUUUAAUCUGAGUGGAAAGAUACAAGAUGUUGAGACUCCAAACUACAUCAAAACAUCCAGUGCAGAUUGAUUUAGCAGCUUUUACUUGCCGCCGCUAAAAUAACAUACUCAAAGAGGCAAAAGUAACAAAUAUAACAAACAAAAAUAAAAUAAGAAGCUUAUAUCUAAUAUUUAAUAAAUAAGUUCUGUAGCUAUAAAGACAAAUAAACACCUUUUCAUAGUUCGGUUCUAUCAUCUCACUGCCGCAAUAUGGUGUUGUGAAUGUAUAGUCAUAAUCAAGUAUCACUUGCUCAGAAGGUUUACUGCAAGACAACAACAAUAAGUAAAGAGCAAAAACAAGACAAUUUAAACCCCUUUAACAGAAGAAUCACCCAGGUAAAUAUAAAAAAAUAAAAAAUAAAAAAAAAGAAGAAGAUUCAAAGAAGUGUUUUGUCUUUUUGGAUCUCAUAAUUAGUGUUGUUACUGCUGCCUCUUAGAUCUAUGUAGAAUAACAAAAAUGUCAUGCAGAGUCAAAUUAAAAUAAAACACGUAAAGUAUCUUUAACAUCUUAGUUCUUCCUAAUAUACAAAGAACAUAAGUUAAAUGAACCUUCUAAAUUUCCAUUUUGCAGCAGCAGGGACUUCAACAGGUGGUAACGACUCCUGCUUCCAUCCCCUGAGAGCAUCUAAUGCAUUGAAAUGUAACUUAAUACCAGAGCUUAUAUGUAAAAGAGACAGAGAACUCUCUCCGAAAACCAUCUCAGGCAUAUGUGACGUUCCAAGCUUUUCUUCCCACCUGAAGAAACACCGCAAGAAAUAACCAAUCGUAAUGACGAAUAAGUAGUAUCUCAACUUUAGCUUCAAAAAUACCAAUGUACAAAUUUUCUCUUUCAUUUGCAAUCUCAUCGAAGACUCGAACAAAACUGCUACUCUUGGACAAAUAAAAGACCAAAGCCGCCUUUCGGGAAUAAUCCGUGCCUUAACUGCUAUCAUAUCUUAUCCUAAUUGUACAAGUAAUCAACUAAAAACAAAACUCACUUGUAUAUUACGAUCAAAUUAACUUAAAUCAUCUUCCACCGCACAACAUUUCCCUUCUACUUGCUCUCGCAAGCGAAUCACACUACCAAAAUUCCCAUAAGCUGUUCAUAAAUUUCUAAUAAGAAUUACUUCAACGCACAGUUGCUUCCGUCGCCGCAUAAACUUUAACUAUCUCCUUAACACGUAUUUCUUAAUCACCGAAUAAUUACGGCUUCGAUUGCGCGCAAAUUCUCCUGUAAGCAACCCUAAAACCAUUUACACUCGCUAGGGCAACCACUUCACGGAUCCGAUCGUUUCGAUGAAAAUUACAAAGAGCGGAGAUCAAGCAGCUAGGGUUUCGCAGAUCAAACCACACACAAAAAAAGGAGAGAGAGAGAGAGAGAGAGAGAGAGAGGGAUCGGAGGGUUGCGUACUCGCGUAUGGCGAGGGAGUUGAGGAUGGGGCGCUUGCGCGACUCGACGCACCAACCCUUGAGCACGAGACCGUUGCGGGCGUGGGGGAGCGGCUCCGCCCCCGCCGCUUUGAGAUCGCUCGCCUCCGCUCUGCCCCNACGAUCCACGUAUAAUUCUAACAAUCUCGUUUUUUUUUUAUUUUCCAUCUAAUAAUUUUAGAUUUUUCUAUUUUUCAUAUAAUCUACAUAUAAUUCUAGUAAAGAAGCAUAUUUCUUUUUUUUUUUUUCUUCUCUCUCUUUAUUUGGGAGUAAGAGUUGGUUUAGGCUUAGUUUGGUAUUGAUGUCAAUCUAAUACUGUCCGAUAGAAUGGAGUUCAAAAAAAAUAUAUAGAAAUAUGCUUCUGUUACGAUGGGACCGCAGAAAAUAUAUCAUAACCAACGCAAUAUGCGGAAUGCAAUAUUACAUACGAAAACAAACAAUAUAUUUUUCCAUCAUCGCCCAUCGUUGUUUAUCACCGCAAGUAACGCAAUUUUUUCGCAAUUCUAAACGAAACCUUAUGAAUCUUAUAAAUUCGUGAUCAAAGGAUCGGGUCUAAAUUUGGUUUAGUUUAAAUUUAAUCUAACCUGAAGAGUUUACUUUAGGACAUAUUUCAAAACAAAACACCGAAAGUAGUACUUUUACAAGGUGAAAUUUUAGUGAUUAUUUGAUUUGAUUUGCAAGACAAAUAUAAAAAUUAUUUUAUAAAAAUAGAUUAAAUAAAUAAAUUAUAAAUAAAUCUUAAUUAUUUUGACUUUGUGACCAAAAUAUUUAACAUACCACAUCAAAUUUACGAGGAUGGAAACCUGGGGAUGGGCGCUCGCAAUAGACGUACAGAUGGAUAGGACCAAGGGAAUAUGACUUUGAACUAAUUCGAUUUGAAGUCUAGUUUGGCGGAUUAGGUUCGAUUGGAGUAAGUUCUAUGCAAUCAUCUUCCAUCUACAUCAAAACAAACAACCAAACAGUAUCACUUUAUCCAUGCUCCAACUGUAUCUUAUCAUUUAACCAAUCCAAACACCCUCACUCGAAUACCUUUAUACAAAAUCUCUAUGUAUGUUAUAAUAUGACUUGCGUUGAAGUGUUUAUUACUUUGUCGUUGAUAAGAUGAGCAGACCACAACUCUUAAACAAAUAGCGUGUUUUGAGAUUAUGAAAAUGCCAUUCGAACAGUUUAAUGGUUCAUUGAGCCUCGUGUAUUUUUAACCCUUUUUCUUUUAUCGGACUCUCCAAUAACUUUGCCAUCAAUAUUUUUAUUACACGCAUUGAAACACUAGAUAGGAAGAAGAGCUCGCCCUUCCGAAGUGUGAUGAGAGGAGUUUGUGAGGUACCACCCGCGGCUGAAGAGGUUGAAUCACGACCAGGAGAGAGAGAGAAGAUGGAAAAAUAUGCGAAAUGUAAAUGUCAUAUUUGAUAAAGGGGGUGCGAAUGUUCUUAGCUUCCGGUUCUCAUUCCAUUAUGUUUGAGAUCGCUUCCAUGAUGAUUGAUUAUGGACUUGUGUUAUUUGUUGCAGGUAAGCUCGAACUAGUAAUAUAUUUGGAGGUUGGGGCAAAUGCUACACUAGUAAGUUCUCGGGUUCAUUUGACAUACUUGAAUUUCAAAAUUUAUUGUUGAAGGCGAUACAUUUAAUCGAAUCAGUGUGGCGAAAGAUGAACCGUCCAUGAAGUUUGAGUAGCAUCACACCGAGCAUUAGAUGUGCUAGUUAGGGAUUUCAUAAAGUUCAAUUUUUUGUUAAAUUAGCUUCGUUUGAUUCGGAUAUAAAUAAGAACUGUUUAUUUCGGAAAUAUGUAUAAGUUAAAUAUGAAAUAGAUCAAUUUUACGUUUAGAUAAAAAUUGAGUUGUUUUCAUAAAUAAAAUAAAUAACGCUUUGAUAGAUAAGAUGAAAUAAGAAGAAUAGUUAAUAGUUAUAAAUAGAAAAUAAUGAUAUUACUCUGAUAUUAUAUUCGAAUUUUAAAUUUUUAAAUUUUAUAUUUGAAUUUUUAAAAUUAAAUAUAUAACUUUUAAAAUUAAAAAAUUCAGAAAUAAAUUUUAAAUUUUAAAUCUCAAAUUUCAAAAUUUAAAGUUCUAAAUUUUAAAUUUAAGAUUAAAUUUAAAUUUUAAAAAAAUCUAAAAUAUCAAAAUUUAAAUUUAAUAAAUUUAAAAUAUUAAUUUUUAAUUUAAAAUUUAAAAUUUAAAAUUUAAAAUUUAAAAUUUAUAAAAUUUAAUUUUAAAAUUACAAAUUACAAAAAUUUUUUAAAAUUAAAUUUAAAUUAUUUUUAAAAUUAAAUAGGGGUGGAAAACAUCUGUUUCUCCUAUUCCCACACAAGUGCUAGGAUUGCUAUCCCAUCCUUCUCUUUUUUCUUUUUUUUUUUUGUGUUUGGGGAUAGGGGGAAUAACCCUUUAUGCCCCCCACUAUCCCCGAACCAAAUGCCUCCUUUGUGAAUAGAAUAAUUUAUGAAACUUGAUACUAAAUAAAGACUCUGAUUGGGAUACUAUCGAUAGCACGAAGUAUUUGGUGCUAUUAAGUUUUCUACCUUUAGAUUUACUUCUUUUAUCAUUUUCAUCCGUUCGAUUAUACUAUUCAACUAACCACCCACUGAACCAUAGAGAGCUCACAUCAUCCUAACCACACAUCUUUUAAUGCAAGAGUAAAAAACUUAAUAGCACAAAGUUAUUGGUGUCAUUAAUAACAUUCCAGCAUAGUUCCUAAAUAAAUGCAAAAACUCUUCACCGUCUGGCAUUUUGUAUAUGCAGUUAAAAAUACUUUCGGUUGUAAUAUGUUGUAGCUUCUGGUCAAAUGUUGGAUAAUGCUUUUAUUUUUUCGGCUAUUUUGCAUAAAAAAUUUAUAAGUUUUGAGCUUUUGUAAAACUGGACCACAUUUUUCAAUUUUACAGAUUCGGACCGAAUUUUUAAAAUACUGACCAAAAUACAUUUAUUUCUUUCUCUCUCUCCUUUUUUUUUUUUUUUUUCUCUCAUUCGUUUUCUUACCUCUCCGAAGAGAGAGGCGGAGGCGGCCCGUCUUCUCUCUGUCUCCCGCACCCUCGCCCGCGUCCACACACUAUCUGUCCUAACGAGUGGCGAUGACAGGAUUGGAGAUAAGGAGGGCGGGUGGUAAAAAAAAAAAAAGAAAAGAGAGAAAAAUAAGAAUAUUUUGAUCAGUUUUCUAAAAAUUCAAUCUGUGUAUAUAAAAUCGAAAAAAACGAAUCAGUUUUAUAAACACUCAAAAUUUGUGAAUUUUUUAUAUAAAUUGACAUUUUUUUUUUCAUGCAGGGACAAAAAGGAAUUUCCAAAAAAACACCCUUUAAGAGAAACCAACGAAGUACUGCCACGUAUUCAGGUUGUACCAGUUCCCUACAACUCUAUCCGUAGGAACCCGCCCUCGUACGUCGCAUUUGAAAUCCAAAAUGAAAAAAAGGAAGCGAACUCCAAUUCUCCCGCUUCAAAGUAAAGCCGAAUCACGAUUAAAAUCCCAUAGAUAAAAACACCCCGCCACUGUUUCCUCCCCAAUUCCCCAGGCCCCACACGAAAAAGAUUCCCCAAAGUUUCCCCCAGAUUUUUUUUUAAUUAAUUUUUUGACCCCAAAUUUCCCAANCCCCAAAAAAAAAAAAACCGCAACGGUCUCUCUAGCGCGCGCCCUCUUCCUCUUCUCUUUCUUCUUUUUAUUUUCGAAUUAAUCGAAUCCCUCCCUCCUCCCACCCCCCCCAAAAAUGGCGCCCAUCUCCUCUUCUUCUUAUACAAACCCCUUCAACUCACUCAUAUCUCUGUCUCCUCUUCCUCCUCUUCCGCCUCCUCCUCCUCCUCCCCCCUUCCUAUCUAACCCUAACCCUAGCCGAGCCUUAGCUGCUAGGGUUUAGACGAAGGGAGGAGUCGCCAUGGCCGGCAAGGAGAACCUCGCCCCGCGCCACACCCGCGCCGCAGCGAAACGCGUAGCCUCGGCCUCCUCCGCGGCGAACAAUCCCCCGGCGAAGAAGAAGCGCGUGGCGUUGAGCGAGCUCCCCACGCUCUCCAAUGCCAUCGUCCGAAACCCUUCCCCAGAUCCCCUCGCCGCCCCUUCCAAGCCCAAGCAGAGAUCCAGGAAGGGGGAGCAGGAGAAGGUGGUGGUGGUAGCUGUUGAUGAGAAGAGGCCCCCCUUGGAGCUCUCCAAUGGCGCCGAGUCGGAGAUCGAUGACCUGCAGAUGUGCUCGCCAUAUGUUUGUGAUAUUUACCAGUACCUCCGAUCCAUGGAGGUUGGUGUUUGAGCUUCUGGGUUGCUGCAAUUAGGGUUUCUUCAUAUGGAAUUCUUAUUAGGAUGGUGUGAUCUGAUCUGUGCGUUGGCUACUUUGCUGAGACGGUUCAGAAGGAUGUUACUGCUAAUAUGAGGGGGAUUUUGGUGGAUUGGUUGGUUGAAGUGGCGGAGGAGUACAAGCUUGUCUCAGAUACUCUUUUCCUCACUAUAUCAUAUAUAGAUAGAUUCCUAUCCUUCAAUUCUAUUAAUAGGCAGAAGCUGCAGCUUCUCGGGGUGUCUUCGAUGCUCAUUGCCUCGUAAGCUCUGACCCUUUUUCAAUUUCCCAACUGUAAUUAGCCAUUUCCCCUCUUUUGUAUGUGUAUUUAUUGGUGUUUUCUUUGUUGGGAUUCAAUGAGUACAGGAAAUAUGAAGAGAUAAGCCCUCCUCAUGUGGAGGACUUUUGCUACAUUACAGACAAUACUUACACAAAGCAAGAGGUUAGUGUUUUGCUCCUUUUUUUUUUGUUUCAAAUGUGGCGAUGUUUAGUUGUUUCUUUGGGUUAUAUCUUACUUGUUAGCUAUAUGUGGGGAUACAGGUAGUGAAAAUGGAGAGUGACAUACUAAACUUCCUCAAAUUUGAGAUGGGAAAUCCUACCACUAAAAUUUUUCUGAGGUAACAAACUUUGUCAUUUCCCUUAGUAUUAUUGUAAUUGUUUGAGCCACUAUUCGAUAGUAAUCUACUAUGCUCACUGUACUUUGCAAUUUGUUGCUUGCAGGCGAUUUGUAAAAAUGGGUCAAGAGGAUAACAAGGUAAAAGUUUGUUCACCUUUUUGGUCUGUUUUAAUGUGACCUUAUGAUGCAUUUUUUGUUUUUGAUUUGGUUACUUGUUACUUAUGAUGGUCCUUGUUACUUUCUACAGUACUCGAAUCUACUAUUGGAAUUUCUUGGAAGUUUCCUUGCCGAGUUAAGUCUCCUGGAUUAUGGCUGUGUUCGGUUCUUACCGUCAAUUGUUGCUGCGUCGGCUGUUUUUCUUGCACGGUUCACCAUCGACCCAAAAUGCCAUCCUUGGGUAAGACUUAAGAGCAAGCUGUUUUACAAGAAUUGUAACUUGCUUUCAAUUGGGUUCUUUGUUACUUGUGCAAACUUUAUUUUCCUUGGCUAACAAUAUAAUCUCUCCACAGAGCAAACAGAUGGAGCAGUGUACUGGGUAUACGGUGUGUGAGUUGAAGGAUUGUAUCCAAGCUAUGCAUGAUUUACAGUUGAAUAGAAAAGGAUCUAAUUUGGUGGCUAUCAGGGAAAAGUACAAGCAACAUAGGGUAAUUUUGUUUUCCUUUUGAUCUGAUAGUCACUUUGCUUUGUAAAUGUAGCAAAUGACUUCUUUCUAGUUUGAUUUCAUUUGGCUGAAUUGCAUUAAUGUUUUGUGACAGUUCAAGUGCGUGUCGAGCUUGCUCUCUCCUCAAGAGAUACCUGCAUUAUACUUUGAUAACUUUAAAGGUUAGCCUUUUGGAAGAUUAUUAGAUGUAUCGUCCCAACCACUGAUUACUAAUUGAGGCUUAGUAGCUUUGCACUUGCGGAAAGUGCAAUCCCAAAUCACCUGGCUGAGGAGAUUGAAGCCCUUUGGAGCGCCGAAGCUUGGAGAAAGUAAAUAUGCAAAAUUGGUCUGCUGUUGAAAGGACCUGACAAAGCUUACCAGGGCCAUUGCUUGUACUUGUUCGAAGAAAUUGUCAUUCUCAAUUUUGAGAAGAGGUGGUUUUGGAAUUAUGAAUAUCAUGAUCAGAAUAUGUUGUCAUCAAAAUUCUAUGGUUCUGAACUUCUGGGUUAUCUGUUUUUCUUGAGGAAGUACCUCUGCUACAUCAAUUCUUCAUGUAGAUUUGUAGCAAGAAAAUAUACAUAGUUGCUGAGCCUCUUUAGAAAAAUGUUAAAUUGGUUCUUUACUAGUUUUAGAUAGCAUGAUAAUAAGGUUUCAUGGUUUUAACAGAAUAUGGCUUACAUAUCAAUUCCUAUACAUAUGAUGGGAGGGACUUAUAUCCAUUUUUUGAUAAUCCUUCGUAAUUUCAAUUGAAAUUAUAUAAAUUAUUAUCAUUCAACUCGAGUACUUUUAAAAGGUACUAGUGAAGUAGUAAAAUUAUUGUAGAUUUUUAGAUAGUAGAAAUAUUAAAUUAUUAUGGAUUAAAGAGAUAUUUUUAUUUUUAUUUUUGAUGAAAAUCAUUAGUAGUCAAUUAAUAAGAAUACACUAUAUUUUAAUAAUCUCUCGAUUCAAGUGAUUUGAUAAGUUAAUAAUAAAUUGGUCGUUCCAAAUACAAAAUAUACAAAUAUUAUUAGAGUACAAAUUUUGAACCAAACGACUCCAAGUGUCAUUUUAAUAGAGAUACUUAAAUGUGUUGAUAUAUAUGUGAGUGUGGGUGUGUAAAUGUAAUGAAAUCAAGUAGUGUGCCCAAUGUUCUUUUUUUUUUUCUUUUUUUUUUUUCUCUGUUUUUCUAGAUCUUUCAUCUUAACAUGCGCAUGUUCCUCUGGUCACCCAAGCCAGCUUUGUGUCUUGAGCAUUUGAUAUUUUGAUCAUCUUUUCCUUUAAUAUUUUGGACUUCGUUUAGCUUUGCCAACCAUCGUAUAUUUUUUAGAGAAAUUUUCAAAAUCACUUACUGGUUCAUAAUAAAAAUAUGCAUACGAUAUGAAUUUUUUCACUAAGAUAGUGAACUUUGUAAAGCCGCGUGUGUAUUAAUUUCCUGUGCAUAAUGUUACUCAUAUUUGCCCGAAUAUGAAUACUCAUUUUCUUAAAAUGGACUCAAGCAUUGAAUUUUGAUCAAUUAUAAAUGAUAUUUGGUUACUACACAUCCGUAUUUGUUUGGAUUCAAGUCAAAUCUGACUCCGACCGGAUCCAGGGUCCGGUAAAGGUCAGAAAAUAUUAUCCGACCCGUUUACUGUUCCCAGCUUAAUAAGGCUCCGCAAGACGCGCGCGCGCGAAAUUGUUGAGGGUGCGCACGUGUGGGUUUUAAAAGUUCUCACGUGCGACCAUCCUCAACACUAACCCCACUCUCAACCUCCCAAAACUCCCUCAUUUCUCUUAUUUAUUUAAACCAUUAAAACUCUUAAACUCUCUCUCUCUCUCUCUCUCUCUCUCUCUCCAAUCGAACAGCGAUACUUGCAAAGUUAUUUAGCAAAUUCAGUGGAGAAUAUAUGCAUUCGAAGCGGAGAAUAUACACAUUAGACGCCAUUUCUUGUGGAAUAUGGCUUCUUGAACCGGCGCUUCUUCUUGCAAGCCAUUGCAGUGUAUGUGAAUUCUCUUACCUCCUGAAGCCAUAGAUUUUCUCUCUAAGGCUAACACUUACGCUUCUCGAAGAAGAACAUAUUCACAUCUUUGCAGUUGCGCACGAUCGAACCCGUUUUUAUGGAGUAUUACAAUCUUGAAUUGCAUGUUGUUUUGUUUCUUAUGAGUAAACAAGGAUUCCAAGAACUUGGUGGACUAUACAGUGUGGAAAGCAUUUUAAGGAUAGGCCGUGAAUCGAGAUACGCUAGAAUAUAUUGAAGAGAUUGUUACUAAAUUUGCGCAGAGUGGAGUGAGAGAGGCGUAGCGGAAAGAGGUGUUCUUUAGCCCGAGGCAAUGUGGGAGGAUUACGGGGGUUACGCUUCAGAGAUAGAUAGAUACCUCCGAGAUGUGGAGGUUCGUGGUCGAUCUUUCAGUUUGUUGCAGCCGGGGUUUUGUCUUACAGAGUUCUUGAUCCGAUUUGGUUAUUUGGUUCUUGGCUAUUGCGGUGGCAAUGUUUUCUAGACGGAGGAGAGGAGAAUGCCGCGAGCGGACUAUUUAAAGACGGUUCAAACGGAGGUGACAGCUUCUAUGCGGGCGAUUCUGGUGAACUGGUUGGUGAAUUUGGCAAAUGAGUUACAGUUUGCACCGGAUACUCUUUACCGCGCCAUAUCGUACAUUGAUAGAUUCCUAUCCUUCCGUUCUAUCGCUACGAAGCAGCUGCAGCUUCUUGCUGUGUCUUCGAUGCUCAUCGCCUCGUAAGCUCUAUUCUUUUUUGUUUACUUCCAUAUAUAUAUAGUUUGUUCUUGCCCUUCUUAUUUCUUAAUAUUCAGAGCUCUCUCUCUCUCUCUCUGGUUGGUAUUCAACGAACACAGAAAAUAUGAAGAGAUAAGACAUGCUACUGCCUCGCAGUUCUCCUACUAUACUGAUUGGGCUUACUCGACACGAGAAGUAAAUUUUCUGCUCUUUUUAAUUUGAAUAUGGUUAUAUUUACUUGUUUCUUUGAUUCGACCGUUAGCAACAUGUUGAAGUGCAGGUGGUGAAUAUGGAGGGAGACAUACUAAAAAUUCUCCAAUAUGAAAUCGGGAAUCCGACAGCGAAAACUUUCCUCAGGUAGUGGUCUUUCUGAGAAAUCAAAUUCGCACUUCUACAAUCUCAUUCUUUCAUUUCUCUCUUUCUGAUGAAAUUACAGGAAUCUCAUUCUGGAAAUUAUGAAACAAUCACAUAGAGAAAACUUAGUUAUUUGAACCUUCUUAAUUCUUUUGAUUGACUCAUCCAGUAAUUCAUUGGCCUAACUGUAACCUAUAUUUCGUUACCUGUAGGCAGUUCAUGAUGGUCGCUCGAGAGGAUGUCGAGGUAAAUAUUUGUUCAACUUUGGCUGUUGUAUUCUGGGGCUUAAGAUGCAUUCUUUUUUGCUUUGUGACCUUAUGAUGUUUAUGUUGUUUCCUACAGUACUCAAAGCUACUGUUGGAGUUUCUUGCGAAUUACCUUGCUGAGUUAACCUUACUCGACUACGGUUGCAUUGGCUUCUUACCAUCAAUUGUCGCUGCUUCAGCCGUUUUCCUCGCGAGGUUCACCAUUAAGCCAAAAAGACAUCCCUGGGUGAGAACAAGAAGUUCAUUUACCAAAAAAUACGGCUUCUGAUUGAAGUUUUUAUUCACGAAAACAAAGGCUUUUCUUUGAAAUAGAGCUCUAUGCGAUUCUCAUGCUCCUCUCCCCCUUCUCUACAGAGCAAACAGUUGGCGAAGUAUACGGAGUAUGCGGCGCCUGAUUUAAAGGACUGCGUCACAGCUGUACAUUAUUUGCAGUUGAAUAAUGGAUUUUCGUUAGCGAACAUCCCAGAAAAGUACAAGGAUCACACUGUAAUUUCUUUGCCGCCUUCUUUCUUUUUGUUAACUACGAUUUGUAACCGUAAACAUGGCUCGUCUUGUUUGAUCUUAUUUGGUUGAAUGCCUUGUACUUAUCUUUUCGCGACAGUUCAAAUGCGUCUCCAGUUUGACAUCUCCUGAAGAAAUUCCUGCACUGUAUUUUGAUUACACUAAAGAAGAAGAAGAAGAAGAAGAAGAAGAAGAUGAGGAAGAUGAGGAAAGUAGAGAAGAGGAAGAAGAGGAGGAAGAAGAAGAUGAUGAGGAAGAUGAGGAAGGGGAAGGGGAAGAAUAUGAAGUAUAUGAAGAAGAAUAUGAAGAAUAUGAAGAAGAGAUUAACUUUCCACCCUCAAAAAAACGAAGUUGAUAUUAAGAUUUCUGUAAAAGCAUUAGAUGUGUUGCUCCAACUACUAAUGCUACUUAAAUUUUGGAGCCUGGGAAGAAAUGAUUUUCUAUUUCACCUCCUAACAUUGGAGGUGAUUAAUGCUCCAUGAAAUAGAGAAGUGUCAACAUUACAGUGAUCUCAGGAUAUGCAGGAUUUGUAAGAUCUGUCUACUGCCGUCGGAGUUCCGAACUUACCUAGGCGAUUCUUUGCACUAAUGUAAAGAACAACCGCAAUUGGCUUUGACACGAGGCGAUUUUAACGUAGUUUGAGAGACUACUGCAUCAUGAAACUUAUGGCAAGAUUUUGCCGCCGUUAAUUUUGUAUGAUUUCGAAACUUUUAGGUUGUUUUCCCCCUGCUGUUGUAAGUUUGAGUCAGAUAAAAAGUUGAUUAAGUGUGAACUGCACAUAAUUGAUAAGCCCACUUAAAAGGGAUUUCGGUUGAAUUUUUAUCACAGCGAGUAACCGAAACAAGGACAUGAAAUGACAAAUGAUGUUAUUUGUGUUGUUUUAGUCUUUAUGAGUUACAUUUCUCAAAAUCAACCACUUGUUCUUAAUAUAUCAUGUUUAAGGAGAGGUUCGCCGCUGAGCAGAAAAGAUAAAGUUAGGGGCUCUGGCCAUGCCGAACGCCACUUCCGUUCACCGUGCCAAAUCCAGUGCAGUGGAAAGUUCAGCUAGCAGAAAAAUUUAAAACUUCAAUUACGGCGAAAAGCGUGAAUAAGAUCCUAUCUUCAAAUUUGAGUUGUAUCGAGAUAUUUAAUGAAAAGUUACUCGUGUUAGAUUGUUUUGAUAUUGUAAUAAAUAAGAUUGCAUCAAUGCGAAAUAAUUUGUUUAUGUAUAUGAAAAUAAUUUGGAAGGUAUUCCAAAUUUGCAAUUCCAUAAAAUAUAGGGGAAAAAAGCUAGCUUUUGCAAUGGUGUAAAAAAUUAUAAUACGUUAUCCAAACAGUACAAAUCAGACUAAAAUAUUCUGGAGAAUUCAACUAAUCUAUUACAACGGAAAUAUAAAACAUUCUGGAGUAUUCAACCAAUCUGUGAACCAAACGAAUAAAACAUUUCGCUCUGUACACUACAGAAUUGUUGUGUAAUACUCGCAAAUAACUAUCCUAUCAAACCAUUUUCCGUCAAACAUUAAUCAUACUACUAAACUGCCGACAUAGACAUUGCCUACUCAAAAUAUCAUUCAAAAAGUAUACCAUAUCAAAUCAAAAAGUUUAAAAACAUACAGAUUUGAUCAAAACUAUGAACUGCUUUAAACCAGUUAUCCAACCUUUCACAAUUUUAAUUCUACUACCCAACUAGUCAAUUUACCUGAUUUGAGUUAGUCAAUAAUUUUUUAACUUCAAAAUUUAAGCUAAUUAUUUAUUUCAAUAAAUUUAUAAUGACAAGAAUUGCAUAAAAUAUACUAAUUAAAUCUAUAAAAAUAAAAGACACAUUCAAAUUUUAAAGCAACGUAUUAUUGACUAAAAUCAAACAAAUUAAAAGGUUGGGUAGCAAAAUCAAAUUUUUCAAAAUUUUGGUAGUCAAUUCAAAAUGGUCCAUAGUUCAGCUAAAUUCUGUACGUUUUUCGAAUAAAAAACAACAAAACUUAUGACUUCAAAACAACAUAGCCUAACUCAUUACUACUAAUUGCAUGGCACAUAAAUAAAGUUAAAAAUGCUACUUAAUUGGGCAUAAUGAAGAUUCCGGAUAAUAUUACCAUAAAUUACAACAGAGAUAGAUGAAACUAGCUGAGUUACUUUCAUUAUUAAUUCGCAGCGCUGUAAGCAACAUCAGCUGAAGAAGUGUCCAUGUCAUUCAAGCCUAGCUCUUCAUUCUGCUCCCAACUCCUCUCAUACUCCUCACCUGAGAAUUACCAAAAUCACGUCAAAAACAUUUGCAAGAACACCAUCAGAAGCACCAAUAACAUGCGCUGCUUUUCGCAGCAGAAUAGAAAGCUUAGUUCCUCUCUAGUUGAGAAGCAUAAAAACUGAAGAAGAAUAAAAACAGCAAAGAUAUGCCCAAGUAGUAAUUGCUACUCUUUAAGAUUCUAUUGUAAGUGUUCAAGAUUUAGGUAAUGUUUGGUUCUAGGAUUCCUAUCCAGAGAGAAGUAGAUAAAUGUCCUACAUGAGAAUUCCAGAUCAAGGUGUUGGUGGAUAGUAAAGUUUGCUAAAAUAAUAGAAUACUUAUUGAGGAUAGCAUUUCCACCCUACCUCAUGAAACUGCUAUGCCUAGGGAUUGACAUUUUAUCGAAAACUAGGGUACUUACCGCUACCCUAUUUUAUCAAAACUAUGAACUAUUUUAAACCAGUUAUCCAACCUUUCACAAUUUUAAUUCUACUACCCAACUAUUUUAUGAAUUGACAUUUUAUUGAAAACUAGGGUACUUACCGCUACCCCAACUCUCAAUCUGACACUAUCUAACACUCAUUAGGCAUCCUUAAUGGUUGUUGGGCUCAUGUAUUUUUAGAGUAUUUCUUUAGGUGAAUAUCUAAAAACCUUCCUAAACUGCAAUAUUUAAAGACCUUACUAAACUGCAAUUUGUAAUGGCUGAAACCUUUUACGCAACUACCUAACCAUUCAUUUAAUUUUAGCCAAUUCCAUCAAAAUUUGUAAGUAAUUAGUGGCAUGGCCCAAAAAAGUAAUCCACAUUCUGUUACGGGAAUAUUCCGCUAAAUUACAGGAUAUUUCAUUAAAAGAAGUUGAAAAUACGUUCAAAUUCUAAUCAGAGAUGUUGUUAAAUCAAACCAACUGAAAGAUUACGCACUGAAAUCAAUUUUUCAAACUUCAGGUAGUCAUUUCGAUACACACUAUAAUUCAGGGAAGUUUUUUUUUUUGUUCUUUAACUUUACUUUGACCUUGUUAAAAACAAAUGAGAAGGAGUGGCAAACUUACUUCUUAACUGAGUAUCAUCUUCUAUGGCAUCUGUAGCCGGAGAAAUAAAUGAACCCGCCAAUGGAUCAUCAAUAAUCAAAGUCCAAGGCUCUUCCAGGCUUAAGAGCUGUGUAACAUAAAAUGUCAAUUCACAGGAAAAUAAUAAAAAGUGGGCAGUACUAUUCUAGUCAGGAUCAAAAUCUCUAAGCAGAAGAAAUAUGGAAAAUUAACUAAGGGAUAUCAAUGACUUAAAUGCUGUUGGAUGUGAAACCUUAUCGACACCAGCUCCCCAUAACCAAUCUACUAUUACCGGGCUUACUUAUAUAGUAGUUACUGCUUCAGAAAAUUCCCCAACUCCCGAAAAUGCUUAAGAAAUCAAUAAAUUCAAAUUUAACCAAUAAUUAAUUAAACUAUUAAAGUGAGCAAUCAGUUGUUUAAGUUUUUAACGUGGCAUUGCACAGAGAUAUGGGUCAAACAUACCUUAGUUAGCCUCAAUUUAAAGUCCUCCCAUUUUAGCCGUUUCCAGUCAUCAGUACUAUCACCCAAGCUAAAUCCAUGUACUCUCUCCAAACCUGCAAUAUAAUAUAGAAUAUACAAUUUUCUACAGCACUAGAUGAACGGCAAAUAUUAUACAUUCUAUCUGAAGAAAUAUAAUGUUGUGCAACAAACAAGAAAGUUUACAUAGAAAAGAAGAGGUACACUUACUUUCACUAAUUUUAGCAAUCAAACCUUCAACCGUCGUGACAAGCCCACCUAAUGUGCCACUUGCAAGCUCCAAGUCAAGCUCAGGAACUUUUACACCUGCAGAAUCUGACUGCAAAGAGCAACAGCAAUGGCAAAAACAGAAGCAAUUAACUACCUGUCAGCUGAAGCUUUUGAAUUCAUCUAAGUGAGAAUCACUUAGGCUGUUAAAACUAAUAUAAAAAAACUAAUGAAAAAUGUUUAGAAGAAAAGAUCUUUGCACACACAAAUUCAAAUAAAUUUAACUAUAGCUUGAACUUAGGGCAUAGAAUUGAAGAAGGAAGCUUAGAGUUGUACAGAAGUAGGAUAAUGCACAAAAAAAGGAAUUCAAAAGUCAAGCAACAAGCCAUGGUUAAAGGGGCUUGAUAAGAUAAUAUCAAUUGCAUCCAGCCAUUGAGCUGUUACAAGUACAGACGAAUGAAAUAAGAAAUAGAUAUAGUUGAGAUUGUUAAGUCUCCAAUUCAUAUCUGAAUAGAUAUCAUGUCAGAAGGGAGAACAAACCUUUAUAACAUCCCGGGUAAGGUCUUUGACAUUCUUCACAUAUAAAGUGAUCUUUUUCCCUCUCUUAGAAAUUUCACCACCAGGCUUUAACUGUUCAUAGAAAGACACGGAAGGGGGGGAGAAGGAAAUCGAGAGCAGUAAUUCCAAGUUCUUAAAGUUGGAUACACGACCACAGGAUAUCAUUAGUAGGAUACUCUGAAAAGGUUGGAAUUUUAACAAACCUCAGCACUGCGGUAGCCGCAUAUAUCACAAGUUGUUGCCAUAACAAUCACCUCCCGAAAAUAUGGAAUUUCUAGUGGCGGUUAAGGCUCCGAAGACCGUAACAACCAUCAAACCAAGAUGAAAGCCUGUGGUCUAUAAUAAAUGUUUGUACAGACCAAUAAAUUCAAAACCUCAGCACUUGGCUGACAGAGACAACAAAGGGAAUAAUAUGUAUGUCAGCAGCAUAUUUAAAUAAAGGUCCAUUCAACAGACACAACCUCUAGAGUAGAGUCUUUUAUCUUUAUACCACAUAUGUGAAUUUAGAAACUAAAUAGAUACACAGUAACAAGAUGCAUUUACCAAGGAAAAUUAGAACCAAAUAGCAAGACAAAACAUCUAGCCAAUACAAAAUUUUAUACACAGUGAAACCUGAUAAACUCGAGGCUAAAACAGGAUACUUGUAGCAUAAAAGCGUGUAACACAUGCAGUUCCACAAGCUCCACAAGUUGAUGGCAAAGUGUCAACCUAUGCAUUAGAAAACAGAAAAAAGUGUAAAUGCGAAAACAACUGAAGAUCUCCUUGUGCACCUAAGGAGCACAAAUUCCAUACCUCCUCUGGCGCCGAAUAUCUACAUAAGGCGGCAGCAACUUCUUCAGGGUUGCCCUGAGCGAUUGCACGACGACCAGCAACAGCUCCAACUAAGCCAUGAGGCACUACUACGAUAUUAUUAUUUGCUGAAGCACCAUCAUCAGCAUGACCAGAUUCGUCGGUUGCAUUUGGUUCAACAAGAAAACCAAGGGACGCUUGUUGCUCGCGUGUUCUCUCGUAGAACCUAAUAGACAGCAAUGGGUCCGAUGAAGGUGCAAGCCUGUAAGAUAAAAAUUAAUCAAUGAAUCAGAAAUAACCAAAUAGAUUAGAAGUUCUAAUUUUCAGGAAAAAGGUGUGUAUCUACAUAUCAACCUGUCAAGCAUAAAACAAACCAAGAACAAAAUUAUUCUUACGGGUUCUCUAUAAAACUGUUUCCAGAAGGAUCGUCAAGAAUGAAUGUAAAAGCGGCAUUUCCUGACGCAAGAGCUCUCAGUUUUACCAAAAACUUGUCAAUAGCUUCGGCCUUCUCAGGAUCAACUUUCUGCAAAGUCAUAUGAUUAACUCUACGUGUCAUGAAGGCAGAGCAAACGAAACUGGAAAAACAAAACCUAGUGGUUCCUGAUUGCACCUUUCGUUCAUCUUGAAGGGCUUGCAACUCAUCCGCAGCACGUACAAGAAUCCCUUCCACCUACAGUGUGGUAAUAAAAAGCUCAGCAAAGCGUUAAAAGAUAUGUAUAUAUAACAAAUUAUAUCAUUUAAAGCCUAAAGCUCCAUAUAAUUUCCACUUAAUGAACAUAAGCAACAACUUUAGUAAGUGCUAAGCUUGUCUAUGUCACAGGAUAAAUUGUUUCCCAAGUAAAAUGCUUAAUAGCCAAGGACCGGCUCAGCUAAUUUUGUGGUAAUUUCAUGCUUAAACAAACUUAGUUGAUUUGAUUGAAGAGCAUUAUAAAUGACGAAACUAUUGGGUUACACUUUGAACUAAUCUAUGACGUGAACUAUCCUCUUACGAGAAUACAGCAACAAUUAGGUGAAAUCAGGGCAGAGCCCCAUAUUUUUAACGAUAAACUAGACGAGAUAAACUCUCUUAAUUUUGCAGCAACUUACUAAAUGUCAAAGUAAUGGAAUUGCAGCAUGUCAAAAGUUCUAAUAGAUAAAGGCUCAGCAUGCAACAAAUUGAAAAAUAAACAUGGCACAGAAAAGCAGAUAGCUUUACAAACUAAUCUGCUACCAGUCAAACAACCAAUUUUAUCAAGUAAAUACUUUUCAAAAAAAAAAACAUUUCAUAGAAAAAAGUCAUAGGGGCGUUCGUGUUGCAAACCUACACAUUGAAAGUGAAAAUAAUUACCGUAGAAAGUGUCCCACGUUGAGCCUCCGGAGGAAUCUCAAAAUCCAAUUGUGGAAUCUGCAAAAACAAUUUUCCAUCUUAUGUUUCUAUUAUAAAUACAUUUCUAACAAUCUCAAUCAAAGGGAAUGGUGUUGCUUCUUAAUCAAAAUCAAAAGGUGUGAAGUAUCUAUAACUAGAAAAUUCAACCAUUGCACUAGUACCUAACUUCAAAAGAAUGGCUAUUAGAAGACAGAACUGUACCUUAAUAGUUGCAGAAUCAGAUUUGACAACUUGACGAUUUAGUAUCUGCAGCGACAUCAGUCAUUAGCAGCUCAACAAACACAUUCAAUGCAUAAUAUAGUCUACCAAUACGACAGAUAUAACCAUACGAAUCCAUCUAAAAUGCAUAUCAUGCGCUCAUGGAAAAGCAGAAUCCCAUGACAAAAGAUUACUCUAUCAAAUUGUCUGACUUUAGAACUAUACAUUAUUAGAACUUCAUCUUAGAAAAUUCAAAAUACGAACAAGAAAACAGACGUUGCCAUAACUUGAAGCAAUCAUCCCUAUGUGAGAUUGACGAGGCAUCCAAAAUUUUAAAAUUUCUAUUCACAAUGCGAGAAUACCUCACUUCGUCCCAACGGGACCUCCAAACGGUAGCAACAUCCUUUGGGCUGUAACUGACCAGCAAACUGAACCUCGUUGUUCCUAAUAAAUGAAAGCAGUAACAUUUAAUGGAGAAUAAAAAACGGAGACUACUAGGAGAAAAGGAACACCAAUUAACAAGUAAUGAAAAAUAAUAGUAAUAAUGAUUCGAACUUGCCACCUAACAAUUAAUAUUGUUGACACUAAAUUCGGGGUAUAGACAAGGCGAAGUACCUCUCAUUGCAGUGGGGGCAUUCAAAGGCCAUCAAAACAAUCUAAACAAGUCACAAAACAACACAAACAUAAACCACCAAUCUAACAUUCAUAGAAGGGUAAAGGCUCAUAAUUAGUAAUUAAUACCUCCCUAAAGUGCGGAAUCCGCGUCAAGAGAAGCCUCGUUGCGCCCUGAAACCAAUACAAACAACGAAAGGAGCUGUAUAAAGGAUCAAACGGAAGAGAAUUUGAGAGGAUUUAAGAGAGAAACACCAUUAGAAUCGAGUAGAACGAAGAGAGGAUUUUAAGGACAUUACAUUCUCGCCACACCGCAUGCAAAGGGACUCGAUCUCGUUGAGCGGCGCCACUGCGGCAUCGGCCUCCUCCGCCGCGGAUCGGAGAUCCACCACCGCGCCACCGUUCUCCAUCGCCUUCCUCUUCUUCCUCUUCCUCUUCCUCUUCCUCUUCCUCUUCUUCUACUACAACCACCACCACCACCACUUACUAUGAGCUCCGGAUGCGCUCUCUCCUACGCGGCGAAUGAACCUAGAGGUUUCUACUUUCUACAAUCUACACGGAGGAGGAAGAAGAAGGCUCUGGAAGUGAAACGAAGCGCGCCGCGAAUCCGCUCCGAUUUGUGAAGAAACUCCGCGCGGGGUCGAGGGUUUCAACUCGGGCUUCGGCAAAAUACUCUGCACGGGCGAGGCACCCGCGCGUUAAUAAUUGGGCUUCGUAGGAUUGGCCCUUUGUGAAGAUAGUGCACAAAAAAAAGUAGCCUUGGGCCCGAGGUUUCCUAAUUUUAGGCCCAUUUUGGCCCACAAAAGAGUAUCAACGGAGUGCCCAACGGAAACUCGUUUCCCGCUGUUGCCAGUGGUUUCCAAUUUACGCUAAAACGGUAAAACCCUAAACCCGCUCGUCCCCACCCCACUCCCACAUCCAUCUCCACAGUCCACACACGCAUCUCCCUCGCCGAAGCCCUAACCCUAAUCCCAUCCAACAACAAUGCAGGCGACGGCCUCCGCCCACCUCCACCGUGACCACCACCUCUUCUCCUCCUCAUUCCUCCUACGCAGUCCCAAGCCGCGCCGCCCCCCCGCCACCGCGGUGCGCAUGAGCCUCCGCGAGGACGGGCCCUCCGUGGCGGUGGUGGGCGUCACCGGCGCCGUGGGCCAGGAGUUCCUCAGCGUCCUCUCCGAUCGCGACUUCCCCUACCGCAGCAUCAAGAUGCUCGCGAGCCGCCGCUCCGCGGGGAAGAAGCUCUCCUUCGAGGAUCGGGAGUACGUGGUGGAGGAGCUCCGCCCCGAGAGCUUCGAUGGCGUCGACAUCGCCCUCUUCAGCGCCGGGGGCUCCAUCAGCAAGGACAUGGCGCCCGCCGCAGUCGAGAGGGGGGCGAUCGUCGUCGACAACAGCUCGGCGUUCCGCAUGGUUCCCGAGGUCCCUCUGGUUAUACCGGAAGUGAAUCCCGAGGCGAUGGCGCAUAUUAGGCUCAAGGGGAGGUCGGGGAAGGGGGCGCUCAUCGCCAACCCCAAUUGCUCCACCAUUAUCUGCUUGAUGGCCGCCACACCGCUGCAUCGCCAUGCAAAGGUCCCGCCUUUUGUCUAAAAAACAGAUUUUGAAUUUACAGUGAAAUUACAGCAAGUUAUUCUCUUCCGAAUUAGAUUCAGAGUGAUUAAUAUUCAUGGGUUACAAUCUCCUAAAUAUGGAGUUUUCUUCUAUGUAAACUGGAAGGUAGUAUGAACACUAUUAGAUAGAAGCUUACACCAUUUUAUUAUCCUAUUUUUAGUGUGCUUCUCACCUUAGUAAAAUUACUAUUUUUAGUGACUACUAUGUCUUCCUAUCAACAUUUCCAUAGUUAUCAGCUUAUCAUCUUUACAUGGUUCUUCCUCUAAUUCUUUGGCCAAGCAACAUUGAAAUCUAAACUCGCAGAGAAAACUUGUUGGUAGAAUAUGGUUAGUUUAUUCCUGCUCCAGUCACUUUUAGGAUUGUUAUUUUUAUUUGGUUAAAUCUGAAUUCUUCCUUUUGUCUUGCUUGGUUUCCACCAAUUACGAGUUAUCUACUAAAUAAUCAUGUCUGUUAGCACGAUACACAUUCUUGCCAUUCUUACCAAGUAUUUCAUUAACUUAAAUUGAGUCGCCUGGAAUAUUCCUUCUGCCAAUCCGGCAGGCUCAUCCCUUUUUACGCUUUUUGCCCAGUGUCGAUAGAAUGUUUAAUGUAGAACUUUCGCUUCACCUGUGAGCUUGACUUUAUGCUCCUCGCAGGUGGUGAGAAUGGUUGUUAGUACCUAUCAAGCAGCGAGUGGUGCUGGUGCUGCAGCAAUGGAAGAGCUCGAGCUACAGACCCGUGAGGUAGUGUAUUUAUUCUAUCUUAUUUCUCUAUGCUUGAGGUUUCCCUGGACUAAACAGCUUUUCGAUUGAUACUCUUGUGUUCUCUCUUGAAUAGGUCUUGGAUGGCAAGCAACCAACUUGUAAAAUCUUUAGGCAACAGGUUCUUCUUUCAUAUCUGUGUUGCCUUGGUUGAACAGUUUAUCCAUUUUUCUAUUGACACCAAACUUGAGUGGCUAAUCUCUAUUUAUGCAGUAUGCUUUCAACCUGUUCUCACAUAAUGCACCAGUUCAAGCAAAUGGGUAUAAUGAGGAAGAGAUGAAAUUGGUGAAGGAGACUAGGAAAAUCUGGGUAACUAUUUCUGAAAAAUUUUGUAUUUGCAGGCUGUUAUUACAGGGUAAUAAAAUUCCUAGAAAGUUUGGAAAAGAUGACUCUUAGGAUUGUUUCUGUGUAUUUAUAUAUCCGUAUAGAUGCAUUACAUUGGACCCUCUAGUAUUCUUUGAAGAUGGAUGUCGACAUACUUGUUACCUUGAAUCAUAACUUUUGUAGAAUGACACGGAUGUCAAGGUGACUGCAACUUGUAUACGGGUACCUGUAAUGCGUGCCCAUGCGGAGAGUGUGAAUCUUCAAUUUGAGAAGCCGCUUGAUGAGGUUAGUAUAGAAACUUCGUCUGUUCUUAGAUUUGAAUAAAUUCAGCGAUUAGUAAAAGUUUCAUGCCAUGCAUUCGACAAUAAUUGAGCUGAAAGUUUUAUGUUUUCGUAUGCAAGCAUGUAGCUUCAUUUUUAUGAUUCAUCAAUACAGGUCUAAAGUGACUUAAAUAUGCUUUUCUGCCAUUCAUUUGUAUGAUUUAUAUUUCGUUUGGUCUCCAUCAUUUCUCAUCAGCUGUUAUUAGCCUUUCAAACCACAAAAAUAGUUAUUGGAUCGUGCAUCAAAAGAAAAUAUAUCAAACUGAUGGCAUGUGAUUCUAUGGUAGUGUUAUGAUAUAUAUUUAUAAUUUCAAGAGCUUUACCCCUAAAAUUACGCUGGUGCUUAGAAGCGCUAAUUAUUGUUGUUUCAAGUUACUUUAUCUCUGUGGGUUUAUCACCAUUUUGUUUAGCUCCAUCGUGUCCUUUGUCAUGGCAUCCUUGGCAUGCUGCACGGUCAAUGGCAGAACUAAUGUUUCUACUCUAAAUAUACUUGGCUUAUGGCCUAAUUGCACUUUUUCAGUCCAAUAAUACCCCCUAAAGGAAUGAAUUGUGCCUUUUACUCAUCAGAUCUGCACUUGAGAAUCGUGCUCUUUUGUACUUUUUUGGACGAGGUUUUGGUUCUUGCUUGCAUUUAUGUGCUACUUCAUUUCCUUAAUUUUUUUUCUUUACUUUAAAACGAUACUCUUACAUAUUUAAAUUGUUAAUAUAUUCACUUCCUUAUUGUGAAGGAUACUGCAAGGCAGAUAUUGAAGGAAGCUGCUGGCGUGGUAGUCAUUGACGAUCGUGCAUCUAAUCACUUUCCUACACCUUUGGAGGUUAUCUUGUUAACAAUCAUUCUUUAAAUUUUGCGGUAGAUGCUUGUUUCGCCUGGCUUUUGAACAAAUUCUCUUCACUAGUAGAAGCCAGACAUUAGGUAGAUCUAGAUCUAGCUAACACUGUAAUAAGCAGAAAAUAGUUUCUUAAGCCCGAAAGCCACUUGUUUCUAGCUUAAGUAUAAAGUUGUGGGAUUAUAAUCUGAAGCUAUUAGGGGUUUCUGCAUACUCAAAUAACCCUCUGCAAAUGCUUCAUACGGGCCAAAUAGGUCCCAAGCAUCUUUAGUCAGGAAAAGGAUAACCAUCACCACACAAACAAGGAUGACGUAGCAAAAACAUCGUAAGUGAGGAGAUAAUUUCUUUGCAUGCAGGUAUCAAACAAGGACGAUGUAGCAGUCGGCAGGAUACGCCAAGACUUUUCUCAAGAUGGCAACCUUGGGUAAGUAUUUUCCGAAUUGUCAAUUUUAAACCAUCACAACUGCUUGUUUAUUUGGUUUCUUAGGUUAAAGCUAGGCACUUUUUUGUUAUUAUUUCUUAACGGAGGGGGUGCUAACUUUGUGAGGAAACAUAAUUGCCACAGGUUGGACAUCUUUGUCUGUGGAGAUCAGAUACGCAAAGGUGCUGCACUCAAUGCGAUACAGAUUGCUGAAUUGUUGCUUCAAUAGCCAUCGUCUAUCCACUUCUGUGUGAUUGUGCAUUGUUUUUUGGUUUCCAUUUUUGAGAUAGAGGCAAAAUUUGGGUUCGGGUGUGGUUUAAUCUUGUAUCAUGCAAUCAUCUAGCGGGAGUUAGCAAAUUUUGAUGGAAUACUUCAUAAUUUGUUGGGUUGAUAAGUAAAUUAUCUGUACUGUACUACUGUUAGAUUAAAAGAUAACUGAUUUUAUUUAUAAAUUGCCUCCGAGCACGAAGCUCUGGCACUAUUGCAUUCAUUCGCCAGGAUGGUUGAUUGCAGUGUAACACACAAGAAAGCCUUGCCUUGUUCACUUAUUAUUAAUUAGUUUCUCUGCUUCAAAAAAUAAAAACAAAGUAGUGAGGCUUUGCUAUACUGAAAUGCUGAUACCCUGAUAUGAGUCAGUUUCAUUUUUCCUGCAGUGGGUGGUUGGUGCAAGUAUUUAUUGCUGAUGCUUUUCUAAGCAGUUAAAUGUAUUUAUGAAGAUGCUCCAGCAGGUUUCUGAAUAGUAUCCUCAAGGUCAAAAGGUAGAGGCAGUAAAAGUAAAGAUUGUAACUCGAAUUACAGUACAUAAACUAAAGAGAGUGGUGCUUUUCUCUUCAUUAGUGCAGAACCGAAAGUGGAAAUGCACAGUGGAGUCAUCCAAGCAAGAGCACAUGUGACAUGAUCUCUGCAUCUUCUGCAUUUGAAAUUAGAGGUGCGAGUAAAAGAGCCAAAUGAUGAAGCUCGCAUGGAGCCUUUUUCUUAGUGCUACAGCUGUUCAUUCAUGAGCAUGCAUUUAUUUUUACUCUCUUCGACUGCUACAUUAUGUUGGUCCGUAUACGAUCGUUGCUAUUCAUAGCUUUCAAACGAACUGUACGUAAGCUUCUGUACGCGAAGCUGCAGAAAAGUUCUAGAAGGUCUGAGAAAUUGAAGUUGCCAGCUAGCUAGAAAUGAAUUUUCUAGUCAGAACCCUUUACAUUUUUUUCUUUUUCUUUUUCAAUUCAAUUUAAAUUAAUCUUUUCCAAUUAAUGUGUCGAAAUAUAUAACUUAGCUGUAAAAAGUUUAGAUUAAUUAGCCGCAGGAUAGCGUUCAACCAUUUCGCUCAGAGCUUCGUUUACAAAAAAAAAUAAAAAAUAAAAAAUAAAAAAAUGGAGUACUGGGAAAAGAAUAGAGUGACACGUGGCAAGGAUCAAAGGGCGCUUCUCCCUCUCGAAGGACUUUAAUUAAUUUUGCUAUUAAAUAUACAAAAAUAUUUGUAAAGGCAAACAUGAAGUAAAUUGAUCACCCUGGUUCUUUAAAGCUAACGCUGCACAAACUAUUUUCGAAAAGAUUACACUGAAAAAAUGAAGCUUACAAAUUUAACCAUGUGAAAAUUCAAAUUAAGACCAUUUUGAAUUACAAUAGGAAGCAGAUAAAUUGUGCAAAAUGCUACUUAAUUAAUAGAUGAAACGAACAUAAAUAAAUUACAUAUUACAAUACACCAUCCCCACGCAUAUUUCGCUCCCACAAACACGCAAAACCAGUAACACUCACCUCUCUCAACCUAUAAUACAUACCAUUAUUGAAAAACCAUGCAUGCAAAAUGCGCGCGUACGUACGUUUAUUUGGAUCACAAGAUAUAUAAAUACAACUAUUUACUGCGUACAUAGAUAAAAUCGCGAAUUCAUUCAUAUAUAUGUAUAUAAUGGUUCUAAGAUGCUGAUUAUUCAGGGGCACUUGGACCUGCGGCGGAGGCCGGUGCCGGUGUACUUGUCGCGGUAGCAGGGGCACUCGUCUUUGUUGCCGUACGUCCCCGACGGCACGCAAUUGCACUCGGCGCAGCACAGCCCGCAGUACCUCAGGCACCGAUCCUGCACGCUCGCCUUCGAGCACCUCACCUUGCACUUGCCGUCGCAAAAUGCUACACCAUGCAUCCAACAAAACAUAUAAGGUAAACUUCAUAUACCGUUCCUAUAAUUUCGCAUUUUCUCACUUUAAUAUUCUGUAAUUUAAAGUGUAUGAAUUUAGUCCUGUAGUUUUAUUUUUAUCUUUUCGUCAGUUUUUUCAUUAAUAUUUUGUUAAAUUAUAUACAAAAAACUUCAGAUACUCCACCUAGAUUCAUUGAAUAUUCACUUUAGUACCCUUUAGUUUUAACUUUGUCAUCAAUUUAACGAAAAAAAUUAGUAAAAUCGAUAAUAAAAAGAUAAAAAUAAAAUCACAUGAUACUAAAUUGAUACAAUUUAAACUAUAGAGUAUUAAAGUAAGAAAGUGUGAAACCAUAAGGACGGUAUUUUGAAGUUUUUCUAAAUAUAUAUAUAUAGGGCUUAGUUCAAGAGUGUGUGUGUAUAUAUAUAAACCAAAAUAAUUGUCGUGUCUGUUUAGCCUUAUUUUUACUUUUCAUCUUAGAAGUAAGUACAUGUAAUAAAUAAUAACUCUAGAUCUUCUGUUGUGACUUGUGAGUAGCAGUAAGGAAAAGGGAAAGUAAUUUUGAAAUCUGAAAGUAGAAACUCUGAAGUAGAUUCUCUCAAAAUUACUUCAUGCAUCAACAAUACUACAAUCUAUAUAUUAUAGAACCAAACAGCCCCAAGACUAUUUUAGGUAAAGUGUACCCUAACUUUUUGAAACAACUCUCUAUUUUUACCAUAAAAACAAGAGCAAAAUCAAAAGAACACAAAUUUCAAGCUUUUGCUUUUAGUGCAUGAAGAAACAAGAUUAUAAAAAUAAAUAUUAGUGCUUCUUCGAACAGCACACACUAUGAGUCAUUUUACAUGCAAGUGAAAUUGGCAUCUCUACCUGAGCCAGCCAUGGAGGUUUGGAGGUAAGAUGAGGCCAACAGUAGGAGGAGGAGGAGAAAAGCCAAGGUGGUGGUGGUGGUGAUGUAAAGGGGCUUCAUCUUCUCUGUUGCCAACUUUGUGUUAUGUGUAGCUCUUUUAGUGUAGUGAUGUGUGUUUUUUGGAGUGGGUGGGGUGGGGGUUAUUUAUAGGGGAGAGGAAUGAGACUUGUUAGGAGAGGUUUGGUUUGGUGAGGAGACUAAUAGUUAGUAAUGGAAGGACUAUAAUGAACCCCAUGACUCACAUGAGCUGGCAUCCAUAAGGGCACAAGAAACCUUUUUUGGAAUUAAUAGAUGAGAUGGGGCCAUGAUGUUAUUGCAGGUGUAUAUAUGGCACCACCACCGGUAUGGGGGUACUGGUGAAUUACAAGUUUAAACCUGGUUCACCACAUCAUAUGUCGACCUUUUUUUUUUUUUUUUUUUUCUCGCGUACUUUAAUCUUUGGCAUUCGAUAACUUAUACUUUAAUCUAAAUUAUUUAGUACUAUUUGUUUCUAGAAUGAUGGGAAUCAAAAUAAUGCUAGAGCGAUUUGAAUAGGGGUGACUCUUAUUAUUCAUAAUAUGAGCAAUUUAAAAUCUGUGGUUAGAAAAAGUUUUAAAAAUUUUAUAUACCAUAUCAUUAAAUAAUAAAAUGAAUACUGACUCACUCAGCUUAUAUAUAUAUCUAAUCGACGCACAAUAGCAUAUUAUUUUUCCAAUCAAAUUCUUCUGAGUUGUUUGUUUGGAAAAGUUUUCUUUUUUUUUUUUGCAUAUAUUUUUUGAGCAUAUAGUGAUGUGUGAAAAAUGACUUAGGCCGGUUCACGGCUGACGUGGUGGACAACAUCCAUGCAAAAUUUAGUCCUUAGGGGGGGCAAGGGAACGGGCCGGUGCAUGAAAUGAAAGCAGUGGUGAAAUGUACUGCGUCCAACAUCGCUUUGCUUGCAAUAUUAAUUCCUCCUUGGAAAGCGUUAUUCAUUGCGUGCCCGAGAAUUUAGCCUUUUUAUUUUUUUUCUUUUUUCUUAAAAAAAAAAAAAAACUCACAAACAGGUUGAGAGUUGGUGGUGGUGCACGUGCGAGGAUCUGCUUUCGCGAUCAUGCGGUUUCUCCUCCGAAGAGAAAACUAAGGGCGAUAAUAAUAAUUUUUAACUAAAAUUUAUGUUUUAUACAAAAGUAUUUUUAUAUCUAAUUAAAGUUUUUUAUUAUCUCUUAUAUAUAUAGGACACAAUGGUAGGGUUUAGUCACCAUAGUUCUUUAAAGUGGGCAUGCCAUGCAUGCACGGGGGUGAAUUCCUAGUCCCAUGUGAAUGUGUCUCACCGCUUCGGAGUUAACAUUCCAUUUGAUGCGUUGUAGGUCAUUUUACUCUGCAACAGAUCGGUCUAUGUUUUGGCUUAUAGCGCUUGUUUGUUUGCUCUUGUUUGUUUUUUUCCCUUUUAUUUGAGAAGUUAAAGGGUGGUGUAUGAAGAUAUAGUUUUGAAAUUUUGAAAUUAAAAACAUUUUGGGUAGAAAAGGGUUUUUUUUAUUUAUUAUUGAGAGAUUGAGAUUGAUAAUAUGCUAUUCGUUUAGUUCUUUUUUUUUAAUAAUAAACUUAUUUUAAAAAUAUAAAAUAAUUAAUUUUUAAACUUUGAAAUUUCGAGUACCAACCAUCAAAUUAAUAAUUUUUCACCUGCGUUAGGAAUAGUCGAUUUAAUGUGGACUAGUUGGUAAUUCAAAAUAAGAUAAGAUACUUGCUACAAAAUAAGAGGUUUUGGAUCCAAUUCGAAAUCACACUACUCUAGGAUUUGAUGUUCCAGGGUUAGAGAGAGUCUAAGGACUACAUCAGAAAAGAAAAGAGAGUUUUCUACAUAAUUUUAUUUACUCAAUAAAUAACAAUUUACUUCACAAAAAUAAAGUCGCGUACAAAAUAUGAAAAAAUUAAUGUGAAAUAUUUUGCCUUGGAUAGAACUGUGCUGGGAACAAGUCGGGCCGUGGACCGAAAACAUAGCCAGAGUCGGCACAUUGUGACCUGAAUCUGUAUCCGUGCCGUGCCGUGCCGUGCCGUGCCGGGCAACCUCAGAGCACAACCAGGCCCAGAAAAAUGUGGAUCCAUCUUAUACCGGAGUUUCAAAUGGAUAUGUGGCCCAAAUUUGAAUUACUAAUGGGCCGGAUCCAUUAAGGCCAUCCCACCACAUGAAACUGUUCUUCCAAACGAUCUAACAAGCCCAUUUAUGUUACAACCCACAUGGGCUCGCCUCGGAGAUGGAGCCAUGCAUGGGCUCACGUGAUUUACGUUUUCUCUUGCUGAAAACGUGAUUUGCUCUUACACCAAUUGUUGGAAAGAGAGGAAUAUUAUAGUGAGUUAAACUAAAAAUUUUAUUAAAUAUUAUUAUACUAAAUUUCAGUGAUGGAUAAUUUUUCGAAUAAAUCAAAAUCUUAAUAGCAAUAAUUGAACAAGAUUUAAACUUACCUUCUAUGUCUGACUAACAAAAUAUUAAGAGAUAAAAUUGACAGAAAUAAAUCUAAACUUAUCAAAAAAAUUUGAGUUACUUAUUAACAUUUUUUUUUAAAUAUAUAAUGGUGAAAAGCGAAGCAGCAGCUGAAUUAAGCUCUAUAUCAGAGGUAGGAUCUAUAGUAUCAUACUUGCACGGUUGCACCAUAUUAUCAGUAACAAAUCAACUAUGUGUCUCUCAGUGAGAGAAAAAUAUAAAAAAAAUAUGAAAUUGGUGAACCUAAGGAGAACAAUCCUAUUAUCUACUACUACUACAGCCAUGCGUACGGACACCAUAUAUUGUCUACAUUUGUUCUUCGGGUUUAAGUAGCCCACAGGAUUUGUACCUCAAGACCACACUUUAUUGAAAGAGUACUAGCUAAAGAGUCCUACUUAAUUAUAUACUUUUAAAAAUACGAUAGCCUUUGUACUAUCAGAUCGUUAUUGGUAUUGAAACUUUCGAAUCGACAACCAGAUUCGUUAGAUUUGAUCUAAAAUAUUAAAAAUUUUUAAAAAAUAAAUUUUAUGUUUUUCCAAAAUUAUUUAUUAAAUGACCGAAAUGACUCAAAAUGAAAUAUAACGAUGUCAAUCGUUAAUUCGGAAGUUCGAGUUUCGAAAACGACUUGAUAUUAUGGAGGCCUUUGUGUUUCUUAAAAUACACAAGCCUAGCUCACUAGACAGCAUUCAAGAAGCUAAGGACUUUUCUUUUGUUGUUAUUGUUGUUAUUAAUUGUUUUUUUUUUUUUUUUUUUUGAGAGAGAUAGGUAGCACGCAAUUGUUGCUGUUGUUGUUGUUGUGAGGUACACAUUUGUGAGAUGCACACGGGGUUUCAAACCUUCAACCUUUAUUUUUUUUGCAUCAAUUUUAUGUAUAAAUACAUUUUAUAUACUGCAUCUAUAAAAUUUUAUAGCGAAAACUCAAAAUUAGAAUCCAAUUGGUUCUGAUGGAUCGAGCCCGACAAAGUCCAGUGUUUUCCUAAUCAUCUUAAUUAUAGUUUUUGAAUUUUUUUUAAAAAAUUGAUAGGAGAGAUAGGCUGUGAAUAAUUUCUUUACUCGAAGAAACAACAUCAAUGAUCGAUGCUUGAACUAUAUACAAACAUAUUCUAGUAAUCAUAUUAUCUCACUGAUCGUCCCUAGAGCAAGUGACAAAGGGUUUGAUAGUUAGUACUUAAGACCCAAAUUCGAAUCCUAGUUGAUUCGCAUUUUCAACUAAGUUUAUUUCUAAAUGGAAUAAACGAAGCGGGUAGCGUGUUACCUAUCUCUCUCUCUAAAAAAAAAAAAAAAGAAGUAAUCAUAUUAUCUCCUACGACUAAACUAAUUUUCACACUCAGAGAAGUAGAAAACAACUUUUAAAAUUUAUGCUUUUAUCAAAUUACUAAGAAAAAAGAUUUUACUUACCAAUAGAAAUUGAUUAACAGAAUUGAAUGAAACAGCACUUUUUAGAAAAGCUCUUGCCAAUUAAGCCCAACCCAACCCAGCAAACCUUACAAUAAUAUAAAGCGAUCACCAGUAAACAGUACUACUGCACUGUGAAUCUACUGUUAUGAAAGGCACUGAAUCUCCAAAAAGAAAAGUGGAAUCUCUAACAACAUCUCCCCUCCAAUAUUGCUUCCAACUCAAGCAUCAUAAAAGGUGAAAGCUAUAGAUGGAGAGAAAAGAUACACAUAGCAAACACUCUUUUAAUAACAACCAACAGGAGGGUAGUGUGAUUUAUGAACAAUGGUCCUCAGACACACAACCUCUCCCUAUCUCAUCUCUCCCCUUUACCUUUGCCCACCUUUCCCUUUUCUGGCACUGUCUCCUCGUGGCCGGAAUUCACACUAAACAGCGAGCGAGCUAUUACCUAAAAAAUUGAUAUUACAAUAAACUUGUUCAAAAGUUAUCGUAAUACUCUUAUUUAUGUGCGUGCGUGAUGAACAUAUAUUAAGUAAAUCAUGUCGUGUAUAUAUAUGCAUGCAUUAGGGAAAGAGAUAAUGCAUGGAAUAACACACUAGAUUCCGAAUUAGAACUGGCUCCCAUAUUAAAAUAUUUGAAGUUAAUUUUCACUUCAUAAAUUAUUCUAUUCACAGAGAGAGAGAGAGAGAGAGAGAGAGAUCUCCAAAUGCGUGGAAAAGGGUGCAACAGGGUGGUCUCAGCUCUCAAGGGGAAAAAAAGCUAACAGUGGGUAUCUGAUCCCCAACAGUAUACCAUAUGGUCAUGUAACAACUAACAAGUGGAAGUGCUUUAAAGGAGGACGCAUGGCCAUUAAUCCCUGGGCUCUUCCUUCCCUGCUGUAAUGUGCGGGAGGUGUUGAUAAGGAUCCCUAGAACUCUUUUGGGUUGGAUUCCCGAGGCCAAGAGAUCGAUUGGGAUAUAUACAUUGUUGAAACACCAAACAAAAUUAACUUAGGAUAAGAGGAAUUUGGUUACCACCACUGUAUGGCACAGUUAAUUGAUAUAUGUAUAUAUAGAGUUCGGCUAUUAUAUUCUUAUGAGUACGAUCAAUCUCGUAUUUAUAAGUCGUUUUCAACGAUAAAACUUAUGAAUCGACGAUCCAUAUCGUUAAAUAUUAUCUAGAGUAUUUAAAAUUUCUAAAAAUUAAAUUUUAUAAUUUUUCGACAUCAUUUAUCUUCUAUUAAUUUUUGUGAUUGUGAUUCAACUUCUCAUGUCAAUGGGAAAGCUGGUGUUGGUUACGAUCUACAGGCACUAAUUGGGAGGAUUAAGUUACUCUCCAUGCACUUAGGCCACGUGAAUAAAUAUCAAACUAUAGCUGUUUGGGUAGCUGAGGAGUGUAAAAUCUCGACUAAUUAAGCUUGAUUGUGUACGCAUGCUUUGGUUAUAUAUAUAUAUAUAUAGGGUCCGGCUACUAUACUAUUAUGAGUACGAUCGCCCUCGUACUCAUAAGUUGUUUUCGAUGAUAAAGCUUCCGAAUUGACGAUCCACACCGUUAAACGUUAUUUACAGCAUUUAAAACUUCUAGAAAUCAAAUUUUAUAAUUUUUUGACAUCAUUUACUUUACGAUCAAGAGGUCACAAAUUUGACAAUUUUUAACGGCCGGUAUGAGAUACUUGCUAGUUUAACGGUGUAAAAGAAUCGGAAGUUGUUGAAUUUUUGAUAGAAAAUUCUAUUCACUACAUAGAUAAAGAUCAAUAACUCCGAUCUUGAUUCGAAGGAUCCGAUCAUUCUUUUUUAGGACGUCGUUCGAUUUUGACCAUUCAUUUUAUGCCCACUUGAUGGACUUUAUUAUGAUUUUGAAAAUUUACGAAAUUUAUUUUCUAGAAAUUUCAAAUACUCUAGAUCAUAUUUAAUGGAGUGAAUCGUCGAUUCGGAAGCUCCAUCAUUGGAAACAACUUAUGAGUACGAGGGCUCCAAUACUCAUAAUAGUAUAGUAGCCAUGGCCAUAUAUAUAUAUAUAUAUAUAUAUAUAGAGAGAGAGAGAGAGAGAGAGAGAGAGAGAGAGAGAGAGAGAGAGAGAGAGAGAGAGAUAAAAUGUAUAGAAACCUCUCAAGUAUAGGCCAUUAAUUUGAGAUCAACUCAAAUGAUUUUGAUUGACAUUUUCUUAACUUUUGAAUAUUUACUUUGAGCUAUCUAAUUUAUCUAGUCAAUUCCUUUAAGUUUAAAUAUCUUUAUUAACUUUAACUAUUAAACAUUAAUUCCGUCCACUCACUUUCAUACCUAAUUCUGAAAUUUGGAAACAUAAAGUAUGAUUAUAAAGUUGAAAACUGCACCAUUCUGAAAUGACCAAUCGUGGAAGGGGCUCUACAGUUCACACAUGAUCCUUUUUCUUAAAAUAAAAAUAAAUCUAUAAUUAAAGAGGACCCGAAUAAAUUUAUUGUGCUCCGGGGAUCGCGCCGUGGUGCAGAGGGGAACGAGGCAAAUUAAGUUGGGCCCAAUCUCUUGACAAUGACCCUUGCAGGUCAAUGAUGGGUCCAAUUUGGUUCCGGUUAGGUGCGUGCAUGUGCAUUGGUCCACCAUGCAUAAAUCUAAGUUGAGCCACGUAGUCACACGUGCUCCGUGUAAAGUUAAGCAUUUACCUGUGAUUUUCGUCGCCCAAGUUAUUUAAUUUAAUGAUUAAGACACCUAAAUUUCUAAAACAUGCAUGGUUAUAAAAUUUGAGCGAGGCACUACAUAUAAUUGGCAUAAGAAGGACCAAAAGAGUAACCCCUAUGAACCAAAAUAAAAGAUAGCCAUUUAAAAAUAUCCAAUCAAAAUAUAUAAAUAUAUGUACAAUAUUGUUAAAUCAAUGUCUACACUUUUUAAUUAAUUAUGAACAUUUUGUACCAUAUCUUUUAGGUGGUAUAUAAAGACUAAUAGACGUAAAGUAGAAUAACUUAAUUAUACAAUAUAAUUAUAUGAGUGCGGGUGAAAAAUUAAAAGUUUAUUAAGUAUAUCAAUGAGUGACAAUAAAAAUGUAUUUUAAUUCAGCAGUACGUAUAAAAUAGAGAUGCACAAGACUAAGAACAACUUAUUGGUAUGUGUAUCAUUUUGAGUCAAAUAGCUAGGAUUGAGUUUUUGUUUAAACUUAAAAUUUGAAAUAAGAUACAAGUUAAAUUUAAUUUUGGCACAGUGAACAUAUUUUGCUUUUUAUAUCUAGUAUGUAUGCUUUAAACUGGGCACUCCACUCGAGAUAGUCUCAGCUACCACGGCUGAAAUUUGGCACGUAGAUAGAGGUCAACUGUAUGGUGCAGUAACCAAAGCUUAUCUUGACGUGCCAACUUAAAAAAAAAAAACAACAAUAACAAGAAAACACAAGAAGAAAUAGUUAAAAAAAAAUAGUACUAACAAAUUUGAUACUCUUAUAUUUUCAAUAAAUGAAUCAGGUAGCGUGUUACUUAUUCUCAAAAAAAAAAAAAAUUUAAUACUCUUUUUUAAUUACUAGAGCCAAAUUAUUAAAUAAUAUCUUCUCAAAUCUAGCUAGUUUAUUUGUCAAAACCAAAAUUGACUUUGUUUAUAAUGUUGCUCUUGUACACGUGGAUGUGCAUUAAUUCUACGAUAUGUGUGUCACACUUCAGCAUGAAUCUUGUGUACUCAAAAUUCUCAAAUUCAACUAAUUGCAUCCGUGUAGUUAUGUUCGUGUGCAAGGGCCAAAAAAAAAAAAAACACGAAGUUUUCAAAUCAAUUUCUGUAAAUUUUAAAGUCUCUCAAUAAAUUCUCAAGGGCAAAACUAUAGUAGAAAGAAAUUGGUAUUGUCUCAGGGACAAACCAAAAUAAUAGUCAGGAACAAAUUUAAAAGUUGAAAUAAAUUAUAUACUUAUAUAUAUUGCAUACUAACUUUUGAGCCGCAAAGAAGAUAUAUAUAAUCCGUAAAAUUAAUCAGCAAGAAACUAUUUUCACCAUCUUUCCUACUUAUAGCUUGUAAAAUAUCAGUUACUAUUUGACUUUGUACAAUUGUGUUUGGCAUGCCAUUAGUUUAAAUAAAUAAAAAAUAAAAUAAGUGCAUCAUUUUAUACCAUUUUAUACCAUCUUAAGAUUUUGGUGGCGAACGAUUGUUUCAUUUUUUUAAAAUUUUGUAUCGGGAUAAAAAAUUCUGAAUUCGAGUCUCGUCAAACUCUCAUUAUAAUGAUUUUCUUUCAAUUAAUUCAAGUUCAAAUAAGAUAUCGCCAUAUCGGUCAAAAUAUUUCAAACCUAAAUGCAAAAAAAAACAUUAAAUAUAAGAAAGUAAAAAAUAUCAUUUUCUAGCCAUUUUAGUUUUAAAAAAAGAAAAUGAAUUCUUUAGUAUGAUUUAAUAAUUAGCAUAUACAAUUUUUUUUAAUACAAUUUUGCAUAUCAAGUUAAAACAUACAAAUUUAUAUUAUAAUAUAUAUAUAUAUAUAUAUUAUUUUUUAUUAGUUUAAAUUUUUAGAAAUAAAUGAUCAUUCUGUAUAAUUCAAUAAUUGGUGUGUACCUUUUCGUUUUAUUUUUUUUAAAAAAAAAUAUUUGUGCAUUACAUCAAGUCGAAACAUAGGAAUUUAUAUUAUUUCUCUCUAAUCAAUGUCUUUUCAUUCAUCUCUGUCUCUUUCUACGCACCUGUUGUUAGCUAGUGUGGACAGUGUACUGUAGCGUGUAGACUAUAUGAGGAGAGAGGCAUGUGAGGACAACUCGGAAUGGUGUACGUAUCUAUCUCUCCGCAAUCAGCGGCGUACGUAAUUGCUUAUGCUAUCAUUAUGUUCAUUAUAUAUACAAAUUAUUGUAUAUAUAUAUAUAUAUAUAUAUAUAUAUAUAUAAUAUAAUAUAUAAUAUCAUCCUAUCUACUACCUAGUGCAUUUUAUAUAUUGUGUUUCAUAUUAAACUGGUUAACUGCGUUGGUUAUUUGCAUAACAUAAUAUUAAAAUCAAUAUUUCUACAUUUCCCUCCAUUUUAAAGGAUUUUGAGUUUAUUCUGCAUCUACUAUUAUAUAAUGAUACGUAUAUUUCGAUCUGUUAGUAUGUCCGCAUAUGCACAAACAAUUUAAUUAACUUGGUGCAUGCAAAAUAAGAUGUGCAUACUAUUUUUGUAUCUAUUCAGAAAAAAAAAGGUGUAAAUUUCUAUUGACAAUAUUUGUAUAGUAAGUCUUACUUUUUUUAAUAUUAAAAACUUAAAAGGUUACGUAAACGAGUGUAUAAUUUAUACCCUAUUUUUUUGGAUAUAUGUUAAGUCGCUUUAUUUUUUCAAAUAAUAUUUAAAUCCUGUUUAGCUGCUGCUUAAUUUUAUUUAUUUCUCGUAAUUAAGUGCAUUAAUUAACACUCUCUCAAGCUGUUUUAGUGAAUUCCAACCUAGCAAGCACUCGAAGAUCUUCUCCACAAAGCAGUUCACUUGUCUCCAUCUCCAUUAUCAUACAAGCAUUUUUUACUUUUUUUUUUUAGUCGAAAAGAGUGCAUUUGUCAAAGUCUUCAUCAUGCUCCAAUUAUUCUAAUUGCACUAUUCAGUUCAUAUUCCAUCUAUCUAAAAGUCAAAUUUAACUAACCUAUUAGGUUUCUAUCUAGCUAACCAAUCUAGUAAUGAUCUUAUAUUUCUUUUUUCUUUCCAAAAAAGUAAACAUUUAUUUUUAGUCAAUCUGCGUACCCCAAAGAUCGAUCUGAUAAUAAACAAGUUCAAAUAAAUAUAAAUGUUGAAGGCAAAGAUCGAACUCACGAUCUGAACAAAUAAAGAAAUUUAGAGUUAACUCAGAUACCUUGUAGUCUUAAAGAUCGAUAUUUUAGAUUACAAUCUAAAGUAGGACCAUCAUGCACUAUGAAAGGAGGCUUAUAGUAAAUGAAUAAUUAUAGAGCUAGUAGGUGCAUGCAUGUUCGACACCAUCCGUCCGUCCCCAUGCACAUUCCUGCAUUGCUACUCGGUGAAGCGCUAUCAUAAAAAUGUUUCAUCGCCCAAAUGCUUUGCUGUAAAUAACUAUAGCUGAAAGAGGUGAAAGUAAGAAGCGGAGCCAUUAUAUAUGCACUACGGUUGUAGCAUGGCUCAUAAUAGAGCUUCUCUACAUGCACGUGCUACAUCGCCCCCACGUCCCCUCAUCGCUGUGCAAUGAAGCGCUUUCGCAAAAAUGGUCCACCCAACAAAGCCAAAUCGCGUCCAUCUGUAUCGACUAAUUGUAUCAUAAAAGAUGAUGGCUUUGAUCGAGCUCAGCAGUUCUGUAUGGACCCGACUCAUAUAUAUAACUACAAAUAGUGAUGGAGACGUUGGGGAGAAAUUAUUGCAAACGCGCAAAUAGUGUACUAUUGCAGGUCAUAGACCACAAUUUUUUUUAAACCUUAUCUAAUGGUCUUUAAAAUUAGAAUAUAAUUUAUUGAAUGCGUUUUGUAGUAUUUUAAAUACUUUGUCAUCAUCCUAAGUUGACUGGUACGAUGUCUCCUUGUAGCUUUAUAAUUUAAUUUUUAUUUUACUAUAAAGACACUACAUAUAUUUUGUCAUCUUAUAGUUUACAAAAUGUAUUAUUUUAUUAUCUUGCCAUGUAUAAAUUAUAGUAUUUUUUAAUCCCACCUAACAACAGAUUAAUUCUUAACAAAGUAAAGCUUUUUAAAUGAUAUGGAUGUUUUCCUUUAAAAUACAGCUAUAUAUAGCAAAAAUUAUAAACUUUUUAUAGUAAUUUCUAAAAAAAAAUCAAAUAAUGUCACUCUCUACGACAUUUUUUUUUGGAAAUAAUGAAUGCUAAUUAAGCUAACAAAUUUUUAAUUUUUUUAGUGAGUUUUUUUUUAAAUAGGUGUCUUAAAAAUUACAAAUUAAAUAAUAAUAUGCCGUGCAUAGCGUGCAUGUGCGCGUAAAAAUUUCUCGUUACACGGGGUCCCACUCAUUAUGUGCUUGAUGGGAAUAGUAUCACCUACCAUUAAAUCACAAUCGAACGGUUCUGAUACGGACCGUACGAACCCCGUCCUGAUCGUAAUUAAUUAGAUCUUUAGACUAAAUAUAUAUGGAGAGAGAUUAUUAACACUAUCACCCAUCGUUGUCGAUUUUAUUUAAUUACCACAGCAGCUCAUAACGUCGCAAGCAAAAUCUCUUUUAUUUGGAUGAAAAUGUGGGUAUAAGUUGGAACUGAAAAAAUUAUGUUUAGAUGAAAAUGUGAGUAUAAGUUUGAAUAGUUGGUAGUUAUAGAUAAAAAAUAAUAAUUUUAAGCCUAUAAUUGAAUUUAAAAUUUUAAACUUAUAAUUUUAAAUUAAAAAUUUUAAUUUUAAAAUUUUAAAAUUUGAAAUUAAAAUUAAAAUUUUUAAUUUUUAAAAUUUAAAUUUUAAAUAUCAAAUUUUAAAUUUAAGAUCAAAUUUAAAUUUAAAAGAUAUAAAAUAUCAAAAUUUAAAUUUAAAAUCUAAAAAAUUAAAUUUAAAAUUUAAAAUUUAAAAAUAUCAAAUUUAUAAUUUAAAAUUAUACAUUUAAAUUUUAAAUAACUAAAUUAUAAAUUUUAAAAAUUUAAAUUUAAAUUAAAAAUCUCUCUCUCUCUCUCUCUACCCGGGAGGGGUGGAACAACUUGUUCCACCCCAAUCCGGUACAAGGGGGUUUGUACCGGGUUGGGGUGGAACAAGUGUUCCCACCCCCCAUUUUUGUGUUUGGGUACAAGAGGGGGGAUAACUCUCUUAUCCCCCUCUUGUAUCCAAUCCAAACGGGAUCUUUAGAUCAAAAAGAUUACAUCACACAUUUUGAAACCAUUUAAGCUUUUUUUUUUUUCAAAAGGUGCAUCAAUUAUAUAUGUUGNGUUUAUCUCUUAUCUUUUGUUCUUUUUAGUUCUUACUUAUUCUGAAUGCAUAACAUAUGAAAUGAAGAUCGGUUGAUUAUUUUACCUAUAUAAAAUGUAAAUUAUUUACAGUAAAAAAAUAUAUUUGUAUCUAUAUUUUUAUACAUAAAAGUAUAUUGUAUUUUAACUAGUACAGUUCAUAAAUGGUUUAAUACACUAUUAAUUCAAAGGCAGAGACAAAAUUAUAGGUCUUAAAAAUAACACUUUGUUUGCAACAAACAUAGUGAUGAUACCGAGUAAUAUUUAAGUAGCUAAUAAAAAAAACCUCCUCCUUUACGUUUUUAGGAACCAUAAAAGUAAUGGUUAAUUUCACAUAAAUUCCUACAAAUAUAGUAAAUUAUAAAUUUAUAACCCUAUAAUAAAGUUUAACUUUCAUAUAUUAUUCUACGAAAAUUUAAUAUUUUCAAAUAUGUCCCUACCAUUAGAAUUCGUUAGAAAAUUUUAAUUAACUAUAAAUUAAAUACUUAACUCUGAUUAAUUUAUAAAAUAACUUGAUAUUUUUGCCCCUUUUAUAUUUAUAUUGUUGUGAUUUUGAAAAGACAUAUUUGUAAUGGCAAAAUUGAUAUUUUAUUUAAAAUAUAAACAGUUCUAUAAUGAUAGCAAACCAGAUGAACAUAUUUAAAAAUAUUAAAAUUUUUACAGAAACAAUAUAGAAAAAUUGAACUUUACAGAGAUAUAUUUAUAAUUCACUUAUUUUUUUUUUUAGGAAUAUGAAUACAUUUAACACUAAAAGUAAAGUUAUAAAUUCAGAAAAAUAUAUAAAAAAUUAAAAUAUAUAACCUCAGGANUGUUUUUUUUUUUUUUUUUUUUUUUCCCCUGCUAAUGUAGUUUAUCUCUCAUCUUUUGUUCUUUUUAGUUCUUACUUAUUCUGAAUGCAUAACAUAUGAAAUGACGGUCGGUUGAUUGUUUUACCUAUAAAAAAUGUAAAUUAUUUACAGUAAAAAAAUAUAUUUGUAUCUAUAUUUUUAUACAUAUAAGUAUAUUGUAUUUUAACUAGUACAGUUCAUAAAUGGUUUAAUGCACUAUUAAUUCAAAGGCAUAGACAAAAUUAUAGGUCUUAAAAAUAACACUUUGUUUGCAACAAACAUAGUGAUGAUACAUAUUAAUAUUUAAGUAGCUAAAAAAAAAAACCUCCUCCUCUACAUUAUUAGGAACCAUAAAAGUAAUGGUUAAUUUCACAUAGAUUCCUACAAAUAUAAUGAAUUAUAAAUAUAUAUUCCUAUAAAGUUUAACUUUCAUAUAUUAUUCUACGAAAAUUUAAUAUUUUCAAAUAUAUCCCUGCAAUUAGAAUUCGUUAGAGAAUUUUAAUUAACUAUAAAUUUAAUACUUAACUCUGAUUAAUUUAUAAAAUAACUUGAUAUUUUUGCCCCUUUUAUAUUUAUACUGUUGUGAUUUUGAAAAGAUAUAUUUGUGAUGGCAAAAUUGGCAUUUUAUUUAAAAUAUAAACAGUUCUAUAAUGAUAGCAAACCAGAUGAACAUAUUUAAAAAUAUUAAAAUUUUUACAGAAAUAAUAUAUAAAAAUUAAAUAUUCCAGAGAUAUAUUUAUAAUUCACUUAUUUUUUUGCAGGAACAUGAAUACAUUUAACACUAAAAGUAAAAUUAUAAAUUCAGAAAAAUAUAUAAAAAAUUAAAAUAUAUAAACUCAGGAACCAUAAAAAUAAGGGUAUAAAUUUACAACACCAUCCCCUCUCUCUCUCUCUCUGCUUUCCUCUAUGAUGUGAUGAUACACUCACUCUGUUCCAUUUCUCUCUCUCUCUCUCUCUCUCUCUAUUUUAAUUCGUAUCCGACCAAAUCCAACCUCCCCAAAACGGUAUCCCCCUCCNCUCUCUCUCUUUCUCUGUCUCUCUAUUUUAAUUCGUAUCCGACCAAAUCCAACCUCCCCAAAACGGUAUCCCCCUCCCUUCCUCUUUGUCCCCACUCCUCUCCCUCUCCCUCUCCCUAUCCUUGACCUUCGCUAUUUAUAUUUACCCCAUCACACCUCCCUCACAACUAUUAGAAUUGCGUUUGAGUCCUCUGUUUUUUUUUCUUUUCUUUUCUUUUUUUGUUCGCUCGUCUUGCUCACUCUUUGGCUGAGCAUUUUGGGAUCCGUGGAUGAGGGCGUAGGGUUAGGGGUUCUGCGGCUGCGUCGAGGGUUGCAGGUGGCGGCGCGGCUGCUCCCGCGGCGGUGGAAGGCGGCGGCGGCGGCGGCGGAGGCGGAGGCGAGAUCGGGGCACGCGAGAGGAGUCGGAGGGGAGGCGCUAGCGCCGUUAAUGGAGGGCCCGGAUCCGGGGGGAGAAGGGGAAUGGGAGGGGAGGAGGGAGGGGUGGGGACGGUGGGUCAGGGGCCAGCUCUCUAGGGCCCCCUCCGUCUCCGUCUCCGGCGCCGGCGCCGGGGCGCGCCGCCACUCCGACCUCCGCCUCCUUCUCGGGGUCAUGUCGGCGCCGCUCGCCCCCAUCCACGUGUGCGCCGCGGAUCCUCUGCCGCAUCUCAGUGUAAAGGAUACCCCCAUUGUGAGCCCUCUCCGCUUAAUUCCCUUCUUUUCUACUUGAUUUAUUGUGUUUUUUGGCCCUUUUUUUUUUUAAUAUUAUAGUUCUCGUAGUUCCUCUGCUUGAUGAAAUGCUCGAACGAAUUAUUAAUUGUGAUCAUGCAUGCUACCUUCUGCGCAAGUGGCAAAAAGAGAGCUUGAUGAUUGGUACUCGAAACCUAAGUUCGAAUCCUAGUUGAUUUACAUUUCCAGCUAAGUUUAUUUCUAAAUGAAAUAAACGAAGCGGGUAGCAUGCUACCUUUCUCUCAAAAAAAAAAAAAAUUUGUGAUCUUGCAUGCAUGUGGACCCAUUUCUAAAUCCAGUAUCUUUGAGAGUAAGCUAUCUUUAAUAUAUAUAAAAAAAUCACCAUUUUUUCCUAUUUGGGGUCAAGAAUCGGUGGAAGGAGAACUAAUUGUUCCGCAAUUUGGUGACCUCUCUGGUUGAUUUCUUCUUCUCAUUAGGAAACCUCGUCGGCUCAUUACAUACUGCAGCAGUACAUAGCUGCAUCCGGCGGUUUUAAGCUUCUGAGCUCCGUUCGAAAUGCUUAUGCCAUGGGUAAACUGAAAAUGGUGGCCACCGAAUUUGAGACCGGCACCAAAGUCAUCAAGAACCGAAGUGCACCGAAGUCCGCUGAAUCUGGCGGAUUUGUUCUGUGGCAGAUGGCCCCUGAAAUGUGGUAUGUCGAGCUUGCUGUCGGGGGCACGAAGGUGCACGCCGGAUGCAACGGCAGGAUUGUAUGGCGGCAUACUCCAUGGCUCGGGGCCCAUGCAACCAAGGGCCCCGCCCGACCUCUUCGUCGGGCUCUUCAGGUAUAAAAAUCCUUAUGAGAGAAGUGGAGCUUCCGUAGUGCCCUUUUUUUCCUAAUUUGUAGUAAAGCUUCUCAACGGGAGAAAAUGGGGUAAAUUAUACUGUUGCUUACUGAACUAAACACAGCUCCGCUUAGGCCACUAAACUUCAAUUCUUUGGAAUUGGAUAACUAAACUACGCCUUUUAUGUCAAUAGUAGCUUUUCAAAUUACAUUUAAUUUUUCCUAACAGGAAGAUGAUGUUGUAACUAAUAUAACUACCACGUCAUCUUCCGCCACAUUUUCCCCCCAUCAGAGAAAUUAAGUUGACUUCUGUGACUCAGUUGUAACAAAUUGAAGCUCAGGAUCUAAGUGAAACUUUUCAAUAAGUUCAGUGACCAACGACAUAAAUCCCAAGGAGAAACAGAGGCCAAAAUUGUUAAACAAUAAGAAACUGUCGGAUCAGCUGAAGCUUACAUAGGAGUGCUGCUCAAAGCUAGCUGUUUGAAACCCUAAAAGGAUUGUUCAUUUAUAUCUUCCCCAACAGCUCUCUGAAGCUAGAAACAGAGAUUUCAAAUUGAAGCCUCUUGCUUUUGGCUCCAUGAGCUUAUCUCAGUUUCUCAUCGUGGCCAACAGCUUCGGAUUGUUUUCCUCCGUUUUGUUUGCCAAACAGUGGAAUUUUGCUCUUGGAGUCUUAAAGUCGGGUCCCAAAAGCAGAUGUCCAAUGUAACAUAUGAAGCUUUUGCUUCUAGCCCCAUCAAGAAGUUGUUGGUUGGAUAAUAAUACAAAGUUGCUAGCACUUCAUCCAGCACCUCUAGUCAAGCAGCGUUCAUUGUAAGCUCCAGCUCUCAGCCAAAAAGGUCCCGAAUCCCUUGAAAGCAUGAAUUACCUUACUAAAUAUGCUAACUUUGUUUGGUAUUUUUUGAAAAAAUAAAAAAAUAAAAUAGGGCCUUGAUCCAUUGACAACAGCAAGCAUGUUUGCGGACGCCCGCUGCAUUGGAGAGAAGAAGGUUGAUGGAGAGGAUUGCUUCAUCCUUAAGCUCUCUGCCGAUCCACGGACACUCAAGGCGCGGAGUGAAGGCCCAGCUGAGAUUAUAAGGCAUGUCCUUUUUGGCUACUUCAGUCAGAAAACCGGGCUUCUCAUCCAUUUAGAAGACUCCCAUCUAACCCGAAUGCAGUCUAAUACUGGUGGAGAUACUGUGUAUUGGGAAACGACCAUCAAUUCCUUCAUAGAGGACUACCGUCCGAUUGAGGGCAUGAUGAUUGCCCAUGCAGGUCGAUCAGCUGUGACGCUUUUCCGAUUUGGGGAAGUCGCGAUGAGCCACACGAAGACUAGGAUGGAGGAGGCAUGGGCCAUUGAGGAGGCAGCUUUUAAUGUGCCAGGACUCUCCUUGGAUUGCUUUAUUCCUCCUGCUGAUUUAAAUUGCGAGUCGGUUAGUGAAGAAGCCCUUGAGGUAACUCAAGAGGAGAGGGGAAUGGCCAGCGUGGUUAAUAGUCGUCAGGCUAAGGUUGCGGCAUUUGAGAAUUUGAAUGAUAGUAGUGGUGAUGAUAAUAUUGCGUGGAGAGUAGAAGUCUAGUGCUAGGAUCCGGGGUUGAAUUUGAGUGUUUAUAGUGUUAGUUCCUUCUUUAGUUGACUGAUUAACUAACCAUGAAUUGUAGGUUAGACUAAGCUGAUUCUGGAGGAUUUGGAGAUUUAAUAUUCGAGCUAUCCUUUGUAAAUAGGCAAGUAAUCCUUCGCAGGUCUCUCAUCUUGCAGGCCUUGGGCAAACCCUAAAUUACUCUUUAUGCAGAGUAAGCGUUGCUAAAUUGGGUUUGUUUUGUCGGUUAGCUUUUCUCAUGGAUGACUAGGGUUUGUUACCUUAUUUGUCUUACAGGGUCUUGCUUUCGGUACCCAAAGGAAAAGAUCUACAGUGGUGUCGAUGCUUCGUUUUUCUCUCUUGCCGGUGGCAGAAAAGAAAUUUACUGCCAUCAUUGAUUGUUUUCGAUGCUUUUUGAGAUAAAAUUUGUAUGUUUUGCUGCUUGUUUUUGUGUCAUAUUUGUUCCUAGGUGUAGGAAGAUAAACCAUAAUUGGUUUUGAUUUGUUAGUGUGGUUCUCAAGUUAAUCUUUGGCUUAAGAAUUGUAGACAAGAAGUUGAUGUAAGCCGCCAAACCUCUAUUAUUCUAGCAAGAUAUUGAAUGAUUGGAUAAUUUAAUCUUCUUUUGUUGUAUGUUAAAUUGACUUGUUGAGAACCCGUGUGGCUUUGUGGUAUGAUGCAGUUCUUUUUGACGAAGUGCUUGACAAUUCCAAUAACUAAUCUCUGCAGUAAAAUCAGAAGUUAGAGCUUCAUCUUUUGGGCCUACAAAUUAGAUUUCUGAUUCGUGUUCUUUCUUUUUUUUUAAAAAAAAGAACUUGUUUUAUGAGAUAUUUACAAUUUAUCUCUAAUAAUUGUCUAGUUGGUUUGUCAGAAACAGAUCUAGUGGUAAAUGGAUGGACCUUCUCAAGUAACUAUGGAUGCAGGGUGUCUGAAAUUCCCACCUGCAGCUCUAUUACUCAUGGAGUCUUCUAGACACCCAUGUGGUUCUUUUCUCAUUCAUUUUCCUGAACUCCAUUUAAUUCAGGUAGUGGGGGCAUAAUCUGAUAUUUCUUUUUUUUAUUUAUUUAUAUUCCUCAACCAUCCUUUGUCCAUAAUGGCUUUCACCUCUUGUUGCAUAUAGUUCAGGUCACCCUCUUUGAUGGCUCAUCACUCCUAGUGGGUCACUAUAUGUAUUACAUCAAGAGGUUCAAUCAAUUGGUUGAAAAGUGGGAAAUGCAUAAUCUCACCUUAUAGAUUGUUGGACGAGCACCAAGGGUAUCUUGAAAGAUUACUGAUGUGCUGACAAUUAAUAUGUAUAUUACAUGCAAAUUGAUUUAUUUGCAUGUCGCGAAGCAUUAGCCGUAAAUUAUUAACACUAAGAAGGGUCACAUAAGAGGUACGCAAAAUAUUACUCUUCAGUGAAUAAAAUAGGAGGCCGACAUUGAGAUCGAAAGAGUAAUCCAUGACCUCCUCGAUCAAUUUUUUUUUUCUUUUUUUUUUUUGAAUUUGAUGAUAUACCCUGUGCUCUGUAGAUGCAUUAAAAGAAGAUUUGUUGUUGCCUUGCAGCCACAAACGGCAACUUUAUUGUGAGUUGUUGUCCUUCGGGAAGUCAUUUAAUACCCAGAGGACAUUUUGUAUUAAAUGUAAGAAGAAUGUUUGCCCUUUUGGAAUUUCCAAAUAUCCUGCACCAGCGAGGAGUUUAUGUAUAAAAUCUAUUUCGAUUGUGUGUAAAAAAGUGGCCCUUACCAUCUUUUUUCCACGCAGUUUCCAUUCUUUUUUUACAAUUUCUUUAACACAUUUCUAAGUAAUUAGAAGCGUUAACAAAUGGAUUUUUCUAUUUUCAUAAUAAGCUUAUGAUGUGUUCCACCCAGAUGCAGAGCACCAUAUUCUCUGAUAAAAGAAUAAAUAUAUAUAAACAUUAAUUCUCAGGAAAAAUCACCUAUGAGAUAUACAUUUUCCUCUUCUUCUGGGUAGACUUUCAAUACAAGCAAAGAAAACAAUAAUACCUGGAGUUUUGGUAAGAAUUGCUAAAAUUAAGUUCCAGAAAUUAUUAGAUCAUAGGGGAAAAUAGCCAAUUGCAAACAAAAGCGCGAUUACAUUAAGCCAAAAGUGCAUUAGCAAAACUUGGCAACUGUAGCCUUCUAGCUUAAGCUCACAGGAGAAAUACGAGAAGUUAAAGAGCCAAAGCAUAUAGUGUGAAUUAAUUAAAAAGAACAACCCAUGAGAAUGGUUACAUCAUCCCCUAGGCAUGCUUGAAAGGCUUCUACCUCCUACCACAAAAAACCUAGCUUCAUAGAAACACCUAUCACUUCCCAAAAUGAGGAUUGAGCAACCCUGCGAUCUCGAGGAAUCCAACGCGCUCUCUCCCUCCAAAUAUAUUUUUCAGCUUCUCAUCACAAACAAUUAUCUUCUUGUCCUCAGGAUCCUGAUGAGAAGGAAGAUUCAAAUGUUAGAUUCCAAUUUUACAUCCUUCUAAACAACCAACACCCCAAGAAAACACGAUGCAAAGCAGAUACACAUCUGAGGCAGCCACAGUUUAUCAUAGCUACAUUGAUCAGGCAAAAGCCGAGCCAGAAAUAAAUUUCACCAACUUGUUUUCCUCCAUUCGUAUAACUAAUAAUAUGCAAUGCAUUGUCCGACUAUACGACCUUGUCGCUCCGAACUAUCACGUAAUCCGUACCAUCAUUGUAGUACCUUCAUAGGUCGAGAACUGACAAAUUCAUACAGGUAUCAUUGUAAUAGGGCCACUACCGUCCCGUAAGGAACAGUCUGAACCAGAUAAGCCAAAGAAAACCAAACUGGCUGUGUCCUCUCUCUGUUUUCUGUACGAGAGAGACGAAGAGGGACUAUAGUUUAGUAAGCAUCCAAGUUUGCCUCAAAGACCCUAAACACAAAAUCUUCAAAAAUUAAAACUUCAUUCUCAAGCCAAACCAACAUUCUCGUAAUCACGACAAAUUAGAUCGUCACAAAAUAACAUCCACUAGAACGAUGAGUCGGCAUUAAUGACUUCAUUUUUCAACUCCUCGGAGACCACGAUUGUCGCUCAUUUUGCAAUUCGCGCAGAUUAAAUACAAAUUUUACUUGGCAAUACAAGUGCUUAUAAGAAUCAAGAACUAUAAUCGGUGCCUACUACAUAAUACUUACCUUACAGAUAACUUAAUUCCCAGAAAACAGCAAGAAAAUGUGUAAACAUAAACUUAUAACUGUGGACAAGCUUUCAAUUGCUACAAGUGUUUAUACUACACAGUGGAUUUUUUUACACCUCGAGAUGAUAUUUCCCCUCUAUUUCACCUAAAUAUAAACAACAUUGCCAAGGAAAUGUCUCUUCGACACCAUAUAUAGCAUAUCUAUACAUCACAACUAGAUCAGUGAGCAGCGUAGGAAGAUAACAGGGAAAUGAGAAGGAAAAAUGCACAUGCACAUCAUCAGAUUACGGAAAUCGAAAAACCUACCUGGAGAUUGUUUUGUUUGAUGUAGGCCCAAAUGAGCUUCAGCGCUUGGGUUCGGGGGAUCUCGGGGACGCCGACGAGGGCCUGCAUCGCCGGAGACACGGGCCGGGGCUUCGUGAUGCCCCUCGGCGGCCUCUUCCCCUCCGCCGCGGGAGGCGGCUUGGAGGCGGCGGAGGCUCGCAGCGCCGCCGUGGGCGCCGCCCAUCGCCGGAGGGGGAAACCGGUGGAGUGCGAUGGGCGAGGAGGCUCGCAGGUGAGGAAGGUGGGGAAGAAGCGGAUGGAGAUCGUCGCCGCCAUGGACGCUAGGGUUUGGUAGGGGCGAAGGAGGAGAAGGGUUUUUAGGGGCUCGAGGGUUUUGGGACGGGGAAGGAGGAGGAGGAGGAGGAGGAGGAUCGUACAACCGUACUUGUAAGGGUGGAUUGGGAGGAGCGAGAAAUGGUAAUACCGGAUUGGGAAGGGCAAAUUCGGUAAUUCAAAAUUUGUGUAGAUUUAUUUAUUUAUUUAUUAAUUUAAGACUCGGACGUAAUUAUUCGCUAAAUAUAUAGUUUUUCGUUUUUUGGCAUAUUGUUAGUUAAAUUCAAAUCUGUAAAUAGUGUGUCUAAGUUCCUGAUUUGUUCUUAUUUACACUAUAAUCAUUCAAUUCAAAUGGUUGGUUUACUAUAUUUUAUGAUGCAAAAAAGAGAAAAAACAUAGACUCUUAAAUUACAUGCCCUCCGAGAUAAAAAUGGGAAAAGAUGGAAGGGUGCAGAGAAAUUAAAAAGUAAAUUCCAAACUUUUCGGAAUUAUACUCUUUCACUAUUUAAAAAUUUUAAAGGUUUGAAAUCAUAGCAUAGCAAUGUUGGGGGGAAAGAAGAGCCAAAAUACAUACAAAGCAACCAAACCACAGCAAUUUUUUUUUUAAUUAUCCACGCUUUCCUACUGUUAUAAGAAAUCCACAUUCUAUAAAGAUCUUAUUUUCCAACAAAAUUAGGGGAAAAAUAACCCCAAACAACAGGGGAAAAAAAAAAUUAAGAAAAAUAAUAAUAAAACCCUCAACAAGUCUCAUUAUGUACAAGCUCUCCUCAAAACUUUAUUUCACACAAUCUGGUAAUCUCUAUCUACUCAACGAAUGGAAACUUUUAUUCACAAAAGCAGGAAUAAGCCAGUUUAUAUGGAUGGUUUAUAUAUCAGUAUUGCGACCAUGCAGUAUCCAUUCGGAGAUUCGGAUGAAGCGGUUCCUCAGAAUCGUCAGAAUUAAAGGAGAAGAUGUCAACAGGCGCACUCGUACAGUUAAAAUUGGCUCCAUUAAGUUGGAAUCGAGUUCCUUGGCGAUGAUGAUCGAGAUAGAUCACUAUGACAGUGAUGUCGUCGUGAAAAUGCCUUCUUACACCCUUUUCUAUCUUCUUUAUAUCGUCGUAUCUUAACUCCCUUUUCUUUGCAGCCUCAUUUACGGCUGCUCGUACUAAUCGCUUGGCUAUUCCCUGCAAAAAUAUUUUCCCCAAUUAUGCAAAAUGUAUUAGCUUUUUGAUGAAAAGAAGUGUGAAGAAUUAUCAGACUAAGUGACUCCUGGGCAUGGUCUCUAGAAUAGCUUCUCUGUUCCAAGAAGUAGCAUCUGAGUAGUUUGCAAAUAAAAAAUUCUGGAGUUUUCUGCAGCACAAAACCAAAAUGAGCUCUGAACCCAAAGCAGGAGCUGCAGUUUGAAGCUUUUGCUUUUCAUGGAGGGAAACUGCAAAUUUCAAACAGCUUCACUGGACAGAACUUCGGUAGAAGCUCUAGCCAGUAAGAACUUCAGUAGAAGCUCUAGCCAGUAAAUUCACAUUAAAAAGGGGUGGGCGAAGGAAGCUUACCGCUCUGGGGUUAUUGACAACAAUCUCGACAGCAGCUUCAUCACUUAGCUGCUCCCACAAUCCAUCAGAUGCAAAUAUCAAGAACAGGUCAUUUGGCUUAAGCUUGCGGACCAGAAUGGACGGCUCUGCAGUGAUAACUGGCCGCUUCAAUGGCACAGGUGAGCCAAACUGCCGGAAUAAAGGGUCACUACUUAACUCGGGUUUCUUCAGGUAGAUGUCCCCUAUGGAUCUUGAAACCUAACAACGGCAAAUAAAAGAAAUAAAACACAACUAGUCAUACUCACUUUGGUGCUAAAUUAGUCAGAUUACUUAUAGCAGCUUCAUUCGAGCUUCACUGAAAAUUACAUGGCUGGGCUGUUCUCAUGGAUUCAAAGUGGUAAUUGACAAAAAGCAAAUGACUGACUAAAUAAAUCACGACAUUACGAUAUUAAAGACUAGCGAGGACAAUUUCCUUAUGAUAGAUCAUCAAUGACAGGUGUGAAAUUGCAGCACAAGAACCUCAAAAUACAGUAAGAAUAUGAUGCAGGGACGAGGAAAAUUACAAGGAAAUUCUCAAAGUAAUGAACCAUGUUUUGAUGCAAGAGCUCCAUCUGCAAUCACAUAUAAUACUUAAAACAUGCAAGUUUGGUCUGGAUAUAUGUCCGUCGACAUGAAUAACUAAAAUUUCGACCUGUCCAAUCAGUAGGGCGCAUCUUACAACAAUGAAAAUGAUCGGAGUGAGCAAAUUGCAAAUAUAUUAAGUUACUUAACUCAUAAAACAAGCAAAUUAACAUCUAGAAGAUUCUAGCCAACUCAGUCAGAAAACAUUUACAGAAGAAAAACAACUAAAUUUUGCUAGUUCAAUAAUGUUCUGUUAUCAACUGAUGAACACAUCUUAAUUGAUUCAUCUUAAUUGAACUUAACUACGAUAAAUAAAUAUCGCACUGCUUGUACCAGUUAAUUCCCCCCCAAAAAGAAAAUUGUACUAUUGCACUAAAGAACAGAAAUUAUAGUAAUACCUUGGUUUAUUAACUAGAAGUAGUAAAGGAUUAAAGAAGGUUGCUGCUAUACCUGAAUGAUCCCUUUGAUUCUCCAUACUCCUCGGGUGUACACCACAAUAUGAGAGUCAUCGGGAUGGAGCGCGACCACCUCUUUCCGGACCUCCUCGACGGCGACAUUGUGGUCCUUCGACAGCCGCUCGGCCACUACCGCCCUACCGUCGGCUCCACGACGACCGAGCACUGCCCUAGAGUCCCCCAAAUUGGCGACGUAGAGCAUGCCGUCCGCGAUUGCACCAAUGAGGCAGCAUGACCCCACCGACGCAAUCUGCGGCCGCGCCGCCCACGACCGCUUCACUAGAUGUAGGAACUCCUCUUCUGUUGCAGCAAACGCCUUCUUUAUUACCUCUGCUGAUAAUCCUCCUUGCUCUGACGCAAACCCUGAUUCAUGAAGAAGCAGGAAAAGAAAACAUAUUAGAUCACUAACACUCUUGAGUGGUGCCCAAUCAAGUUUUAAGUUGAGUUUAUUUGCUAUUCUAGGAGACUCGGUUGAGUUCCAUCGUCUAAUUGAGAAGCCCCAUUUACGACAGUUCCAACCUUGAAUCACUGGAAAUCAUACAAAUUCCGUUCCAAAAAACGAAAAAAAUAAUAUUCAAAACGCUUGAGAUCUUCAAAUCACAUCAAAUUCGACCUCAAAUCAUCGAAUUUGCUAACCAAAACCAAAAUCCAAAAAUCCACCCAGAUUAUUCUGAAACAAACCAAUCAAAACACGAAAUGGAUCAAAAUCCCAUCAAAUUCACCAACUCGGGAGUGACCAGAGAGAUUGGAGGGGUUCGAGGGGAGCUUACGUUGGAGAUGGGGGAAGAGGCGGGAUCGGACGAAGCGAGAGGCCUCGGGGCCUCCAUGGCCGUCGUAUAUCCCGACGAAGGUGGCGGAGGGCGAGGUGAGGACCUGUCCCUGGUCCUCGAGCGCGUUGUUCGCUUGGACCACGGCGAUCGAGAACUCGCCCAUGGCGUGGGGCUUCAGGUCGAGGUCCCACAGGAGCCCGUCCCCGACCCCGAACCUCCCGAAGCACCACUCCAAUGGCCGAAUCCAUGAUCGCACCAUCAUCGCCACACCUCUCUCUCUCUCUCUCUCUCUCUCUCUCUCUCUCGUCUUCGUCUUCGUCUUCGUCGUCUUCGAUUGUUUUCUAUAAGCGGGAAUAGGGAAAGGUGAAAGGGAGGUGGGGAGUGGAAAUAUAUAACGGUCGGAUGCAGAAGAAGUAUAUCUCACCACCGUCGGAUUCUUCUUGUACGAUUGAGAUUUGAUGAAAAUUAAAUGCCGCGCAUAAUCACCAGUGAUGAUAGAGAGAGCAAUACGUCUAUAAAAUUAAUAUAAAUUUAACCAAUCGUUCUCGGAAGCUUCAUAUCUGGUAUUUGAAAUUUUAGUUUGAAAUUUAAUUACUUAUAGUUUUGAUUAAAUAUUUUUUUUAAAAANAAUUCUAGAAUUAAAAAAAAAAUAAAAUUUAAAAAUUAUUAAUAUUAUUUUUACUAUAAUAUUCCUAUAAAUUUAUUUAAAAAAAAAUAAAUUUUUAGAGGUAAUGGUAUAAAAUUUGCACUCAAUAGAGAAUAUGGGGGGUCAAAAUGAUUAAUUGUGUUGAAAAAGGUUAGCGUGAAGAAACGCGUUUGCGGGAGACAGACGACUUCAGAGUUCAGUCUAAGGUGCUUUUUUCUCUCUCUUUUUUUUUAAAAAAAAAUUUAUCUUUUUUUAAAAUUUUAAUAUUUGUGAUAAUUUGAUAAUAAAAAAAUGAAGAAACUAAGCGAUUUAAUUAAUGCAGCUACAUUCUAUGGGAUGCCCACGUGCCACGCGUCAAUGCUUUAAACUGUUACGAAGUGUGUGAGAAAUAGCCAGGAUAGAUAUUUUACUAGUUUGUUUAUAAAUUUAUACUAUCACAGUUUUCUUAUAUGUAUAUAUUUAUGAAAUAUAUUAUAUAAUAUCAUACCUCGCUAGUAUUUAAAGUUGUUAGUUGUAUAUUCAAAACCAGUAUCUAAACUUUACACUAAACUAUCCAAAAAUAUAAACACCUCUUUUGAUUAAUUUAAUAUUAAAAAUAUUAAUAAGAUCAGUAUAAAAGUAUUUAUAUGAUAUAUACAUAGCAUUGCUCUUAGUUAAAUUAUUUACUUCACGACAACAAAAACUACUAAGCUAAUUUAAUGUCUAUAGUGACCAUUAGAGUGUAGAAUAAACAUUUUGUUUAAGUUUAAAAUGCAAGUUCAAAUGAUACUCUCUCCUAGGCGGAGGUGACGUGUUUUCUCAUUUUUCCCACAUCAUAAAAGUAGUUAGUUUGUUCACAUCUUCAAAGGAGUUUGUUUGAGAAAUUUGGAGAUAAUAUGUGUACCAUACGAAUAGGAAAAGAACAACACGAACACGUUAGGGUCAACGCGUAGAAAUAGAACGAGUUUAUCUACAGCUACGAGUUACAUAGGAUAUAGACAUAUAGUAUGGUUUUAUUUGGUACUAUCCAGUUAAGAAAAUAGAUAAAUAUUAGAAAAAAAUUUGACUAAUAUUAAGUCGAGCAAGUUUUCUAUGCAGAAUUAGAUGAACAUGUGUGAAAUGGGAUUACCACUAAAACUCGAUAUAUAUGCCGCUUCUUCAGUACGCGCGAAGUAGAUAAUCCAUGGACAACUUGAACUAAAUUAAGUUAAACUUUUUGCAUUUUAAAAUAUCCAAUGAACAAAAUAUAGACACUUGUUGAAAACUUAACUUUCCCAACAUAAGCAUAUAUAUGUUCCCUACAAAUAGCUUUAACAAUGGAGUUAGCGUAAGAUACAGUAUUUUUUUCAGUACGAGGCCACAGUGUAGUAGUGCUAAGAAAAGUCUAAUCUAACAAAACUAAAUUUAAAGCAAUAAAGCAUUUUCAGUCAAAUUGCGGUUAACAUGGUCAACGCCUCGCCAUUUACGGCACGGCAAGCUAGUUGGGUAUUUGGAAUUCUCACGCCUCUCUCUCUCUCUCUCUCUCUCUCUCUCUCUCUAUAUAUAUAUAUAUAUAUAUAUAUAUGAAUCAGAGAGUUCUAGAAACUUCCAUUGUUGUUAAGGUGGAGCUUCUUUUGGUGCAAAAGCACUUUCAGGUGGACCAGCGCGCUCCAUGAAUGUCAACAGCUGCUACCAACCGCGUGAACAUAGUAAUGAGCGGAAUAGGUUUUCUGUUUUUCUCUUUCCCACUUGAAAAAAUGGCUAAUUCGGAUAAGAAACCAAAAAAACAAAUGAACUAAAAGUACACCUCAGAUGCCAUUUUGACAUAACAUUUCUUUUAAAAACAUAGAAUAAUAAUUCUUUAAACUUUCUCUCAAUCAUCUGACAAUAUUUGUGUUCAUGACCAAUAUAACUUGAAAGAAAUUUUUAUCAAACUAAACAUCAGUAAAAUUAUCACUGUAAUAGGGAUCAUAAAACAAUUAUGAGAUCAUAUACAU